AUAUAUAUAUAUUCCUCAAAUCUGUAAGCUCUUAAUAUCUUUAAUGAAGAUCAAGUAGUAAUCAUUUUUCCUAUGCUUGUACAAGUUUCCCCAAAAGUGAUUAAUCAUAUAAAUUGUUGUUUUGGGGGGAAUUCCAUAGAUUAAUUUAAAAGUAGUAUAUGUGGGGGGACAUUUCUUGAAGAAGUGCAGUAGAAAAAGAGAAUUUCUAUAAGAAUUAUUUUUAAAGGUUGAACUCACAGAAGUAGAGAGUAGAAUAGUGGUUGCCAGAGGCUGAGGGAGGGAGAUGGAAAGGGAAGGAGAAUAUGUUGAUCAAAGAGUACACAAUUUUAAUUAGGCAAGAGGAAUAAGCUUUAGUGGUCUGUUGUGCAGAAUGGUGACUAUAAUAAAAAUGCAUUGUAUGUUUCAAACUUGCUAAAAGAUGAGAUUUUAAAUGUUUUCACCACAAAAAAAUGGUCAGUAUGUGAGGUGGCAGCUUUGUUAAUUAGCUUGAUGUAAUCAUUCCACAGUGUAAACAUAUAUCAAAACUUCACAUUGUCUCCCAUAAAUAUAUAUAAUUAUUACUUGUCAAUUAAACAUUUUUUAAAUGAUUGUGUUUAAUCACCAAAGAUAGUGUCUUUUAUUCUUAGUAACAACCUCCAUUUUGGAUUAGAAUAUUUGAAUUUUAUAGUGAAAAUAAUCUACAAAAUCAGUUAUGCAUUUAUCAGAUAGUUUAUAACAAAAAAUGGAUGCAUCACAGUCAUAGCUUUCUUAGCACAGUUUUCUGAAAUGACUUAAUCCCAAAGUAAUUUACAGGCAGACUAAAUGGAUUUAUUAUGUAUAAAAAUCCUCAUCUCACAUUAUCUAAGAAAAAAAUUAACAUUUGGUAAAAAAAAAAUUAAUUCACAAUAAUAACAUGAGCCCUUACACUUAUCAGAAAAACCCAGGUAUUUACAAAGUAUAGAUAAAAAUCUGUUUUUUUUAAUUUUUUUAAAUUUUUUCUUUCUUUUUUUUUUUUUUUUUUUUUUUUUUUAGAUGGAGCCUGGCUCUGUCACCCAGGCUGGAGUGCAGUGGCGCGAUCUUGGCUCACUGCAACCUCCACCUCCUGGGUUCAAGCAGUUCUCCUGCCUCAGCCUCCCGAGUAGCUGGGACUACAGGUGCCCACCACCAUGCCCAGCUAAUUCCCUGUAUUUUUUUUUAGUAGAGAUGGGGUUUCACUGUGUGAGCCAGGAUGGUCUCGAUCUCCUGACCUUGUGAUCUGCCCGCCUCAGCCUCCCAAAGUGCUGGGAUUACAGGUGUGAGCCACCAUGCCUGGCCAAAAAUCUGUUUUUUAAUAUUGCCAUAUUCUCACAACAAACAGCUUCUUUUCAUAAAUUUUAAAGUUCAAGGUAAACAGGGCACCUUUAAAAAAUCCUGUGAAAGGUGACUGCCAGUGCAGGCAUGGCAAAUAGGGGGAGAUGAUGAGAUGAUUAAAAAAGAAUGGAGAACAGAUUAUGAAUGUUGUUGAAUAAAUGCAGAAAAAAUUUAAUAUUCUCUUUAAUUCUCUUAUGUAGUUAAAGGAAAGAAAGAACUGUGAGGAAUAAAAUAGAGAGGAUACAAAAAGCAGGAGCAAAAACAGAUGAAAGCCUUAAGUUCUAAUGAUUUUUUAAUUUUUUUCAAAUUGUUUUCGAGAUGGGGUCUCACUGUGUCACCCAGGUUGGAGAGCAGUGGCGUGCACAAAGCUCACUGCAGCCUUAACCUCCUGGGCUCAAGCAAUCUUGAGGCUUACUUAUUAAAGAUAAACCAUUCAGAUCACUCUUAGUCGUGACAUGCACAGAAGUGAUUUUUUUGUUGUUGAAAUAUAAGUCAGUUGGUUAACUACUAUAAUACUUCAGUAAGGAUUUCAGUCCUUAAAUGUGAAAACACUUUCUUAAAAUUGAGUAAAUGUAACUACUAAUUUUAAACUGUGAUGAACCAUAUACCCCAUGUAGCACAGCAGGGUCUCAGUAUGACCUGCCGUGGGGGUAAGAGGGACAAAAAGUGAGAGAUGUUCUGAGCAGUAACUUCUCACAUAGUCACUUCUAGCUCCUGGGCUAGAGAUUCCUACUCUACAUCUCGAUCAAGAUUUAUGAGGAAAUUAAAAAUGCAGAAAAUGUCAAGCCCAUCUCUGAAGUAUGAUUCCCAGUUUGUAUAAGAUUGUCAUCUCAUAAUAUCUAAACAUUAUUCUUCAUAUUAAAAAAGUUUUCACAUGAAAAUUCAAUCACGGCAUUUAUGUACUCAGUGUCCAUCCCUCUCAAAGAAUAUCCCUGUUGUUUUCUGAGGGGCAGCUACUUUGAUUUCACAAUUUUUCUGGAUUUUUUUUUUACUUUUGUAGACAUAUAGCAGUGAUUUACAAUGAUUGCCUCUAAAAUAAUUUAGAAUCAAUAGCUAGCAACUGGUACUCCUUCAGUAAUGCCUCAGGUUUCUGGAUUGGUGUGUUAGUUAGCUGUUGCCACGAUAAUACUGCAUAAUACAUUACCUAAACCUGAGGGAUAUUCAGGAAGUAUUUAUUUCUUCCUCUCAGUUUGGCUGGGGUCAGCUGAGGUUUGGCUGAUCUAGGCUGCCUUCAGCUGGGCUUGGCCUUAAGUUGCAGGUUGGUUCUAGGUCUACUGCACCUUGAUUUCAUUAUUCUUGAACCAAGAGCUCUAUAAGGCAGAGUCUUCCCAUGGCCUUAAGUUGCAGGUUGGGUCUAUGUCCACUGCACGUUUAUUUCAUUCUUCUUGGGCCAGGAGCUGUAUGAGGCAGGGUCUUCUCAUGGCAAAAGGCAGAGUAAAUGCACCAAAACCCAACCUGGCAAUAACGUUUUAAUCCUCUGCUAGUGUACUUCUGCUAACAUACUAUUUGUCAGCAAAAGUCACAUGGCCAAGCCUAAUAACAGUGAGGAAGGAAAAUAUCCUUUGAUUCUAGUGGUAGGUUAUGCAAAGUCAUAUAGCAUAUGGUAUAGCUAUGGGAAAGAGUAUUAGAAACGAUAAUGCAAUAUACCAUGUUCCACCUUCUGGAUCACAGUUAUUCACAUGCCACCCACACACAAAAUAGCUUACGUCUGUCUCAUUUUAUAUAUAAUUUUAGGAAAUUCUCAUACUUUUAAUCAUAAGUAUGAAAUCAAGUUCAAACUCCAGGAUCUCAUUAUUUAUACCUAUUCCAGAUGCAGUUCUUCUUGAUCUGGAGGCCUGUUAAUUUAAAAGACAAGUUAUCUAAUGCCCCACAACACACACUCCCAACAUUUAAUAGUGGAGUACUUUGUUCUGUGUGCUGCUCAUUGUCCACCUUUUGAAUAGAAUGUUCAUUGUGAUGAUCCUGUGAACAGUCCAUUCAAAAAGGGGGACAAUGAGAGGCACACAGCAGUCAUUGGUCCAUAGGAAUUCUGCAAAUUGCCAGGUCUUCCUAUUCUGGAGGAAGGUAAUGUUCUUUGAUUAGGUAUUACUUCUGUUCCCUGGAAAUUAGCUAGAGAGAAAAAGAGGUUGUAUCAACACUUGCCUUGGUGGAUGUAUUCAGAAGCCAUCAGGGUCUUCAAGACAAGCAAAGAAAAAAAUUUCCUUUUGUUUUUGACAUUUUCUGUACUUCAUUAGUAUGACAUCUCCUGGUACAUAACUACCCAGGUCUUGAGAUUUCCAAAGUUCUCAGUGAUAUGAUCUUUUCUUUCUUUAUCUUACUAAUAAAUACUUAUUUAGGUUUUUGCCUAGGUAGCAUAUUUUAAUGACCCAAGCAUCAAAAAGUAUGCAAAUGUAUAAAGUGAACAUGUACUUCCCAAUAUAUUUUUAUUUUUCUUAUCUUUUUUUACACACAUAAUAGUAGUAUACUAUAGGUACUGCGCAAUAUUCUUUUUUUCACUUAAUAUAUAUCAUAGAUUUUUCCAUAUCAGUGCAUUAAGAGCGCCCUCAUUUUUUAGAGCUAUAUAUUAUUCCAUUUAAUGGACAUAUCAUUAUUUAUUAAAGGACAAUUAAGAUGUUUCCAGUGUUUUUCUAUUAUAGAUAAUUGUUGCAAUGACUAAUCUUGUAUGUGUGUCUUUUCACACAUGGGUUAAUGUAUUUGUAAGAAAAAAAUUAUAAAAGUGGAAAUGUAAAGUCAAAGGGUUUAGGAGGUUUUGUUUUGUUUUGUUUUUCUGUCACCCAGGCUGGAGUGCAGUGGCACAAUCUUGGCUCACGGCAACCUCUGCCUCCUGGGUUCAAGGGAUUCUCCUGCCUCAGCCUCCGAAGUAGCUGGGACUACAGGUGUGUGCCACCACACCUGGCUAAUUUUUGCAUUUUUAGUAGAAACAAGGUUUCGCCAUGUUGGCCAGGCUGGUCUCAAACUCCUGACCUCAGGUGAUCCUCCUUGCUGGGAUUACAGGCGUGAGCCACCAUGCCUGGCCUGGUUUAUGAGUUUUUAAUUUUAAAAGAAACUACUGAAUUGCCUUCAAUAGAAUUUGUAACAAUACUUAACUCCCACCAAUAAUAUAAAGAGGGCUUCUUUAUCUAUAAUCUUGUCAACAGUGUGUCAAACUUUUGGAAUUUGCUCAGUGAAGUGAAAAUGAAGUUGCUUUUCCUUUUUAUGCAUGAGAGAGAACUUAUUUCAGGUAUUAAAGAAGUUUUUGCAUUUUUCUAAACUAAUUUAUUUUCUUAUACUGGGCCUAUAUUUUACUGGGUUGUUGGCUUCUACUGCCUUCAGUAGAUGUUAGGGCUAGGCACAAUGACUCACACUUACAAUCCCAGCAUUUUGGGAGGCCGAAGUGGGAGGAACCUUUGAGGCCAGGAGUUUGAGACCACCUUGGGCCACAUAGUAAAAUCCUAUCUCUAGAAUUAAAGAGUUAGCCAUGCAUGGUGAUGUGAACGUGUACUCCUAGCUACUCAGGAGGCUGAGGUGGAACGAUCACUUGAGCCCAGUACUUUAAGGCUACAGUGAGCUAUGAUCACACCACCGCACUGUAGCCUAGGUGACAGAGCAAGACCCUGUCACUAUAUAAAGAAAGAAAUAAUAAAUAAAUAAAAGAUAAGUGAAUAUUUUGUAGGACCUGCAUAUAUGCCAAGGAAAUUAGUCCUUUUUAGGUUAAUUGAAUUGUAAAUAUUUUUCAUAUUAUUGACUUUACUUAUAUUUUAAACAACUAUUUGGUUUUUUUGGUUUUUCUUUAAUAUGGAUUAAUUUAUUAGUUUUUCUAUUAUGGCUUUUAAAUUUUAGGAAAUAGAAAGACCUUCCACCACUUUGAGGUUAUAAAAAGAAUUCUCCUGUACAUUUAUUCUAGUACUUUUGUUAUUUAGUUUUGUUACAUUACUCUCUGAUCCUUUUAGAAUUUGUUCUGGUAUAAUGUAAGAUAGGGAUUCAACUUUUUUCUGUAUGGCCACCCAGUUGUCUUAGCACCAUUUAUUGUAUAGCUCAUCUUUUCUAUACACAUACGAAAUGCCACCUUUAUCAUAUACCAAAAUUUCAUUUAUUUUUUGUGUCUGUAACUUUAUAUUUUGCUUCUUAAAUUUACAUCUCUAUUCAUGCAGUAGCUUCAUAUCAUUUUAAUUACUGAGGCUUUAUGGUGUUUUAUGUGGUAGAGUUACUCAUUCUUCAUUGCACUUUUUUCAGAAUUUUCCUGGCUGCUCUUGUUUGUUUCUUUUUCCAUAUAAACUUUAGAAUGAGUUUAUUUUGUUCUGAGAAAAAAAAAAAGUGUUGACGUUCAGGGUGCCAUUACAUUUACAAAUUAGCUGUGAAAGGAUGAAUGUUUUUAUGGUACAUUUUCUUAUCCAAGAACAUAGUAUGCAUUUCUAUUUAUGUAUUUUAUGUCCCUUAGAAGCAUCUUAAAAGCUUUCUUCAUAUGGUUCUUGCAUAUUUCUCAUUAAGUGUUUUUCUCUUUCUGAUUCUAUUUAUGGUUUAGCAUAUGUGAUACUAAAAAGGAAGGACUCCAGCUGUUUUAACCCUGGCUCUACCUCCAAAUUCCCACAGAUCAGAAGAAACAGAUAGAUGUUAUAAGUAAGCAGAUACAAGUUUUAAGUGAAAAUGAGGGGACAGGUGGGUAGAGAUAGCAUAUUGGGUACUAACUAGUUUUUGUCAUCCUAGCCAAGGAAAGCCACCAGAUUUGUCUGGCACACACAACACGGGCAAAGCACAAUGGAGAUAGAAAGGUCUCAGAAGGCAGAGCAGUUGUCAUUUAGAAGCAGAAAAGCAGUGGAUCCAAGAAUUUUUAUUAGGCUUGGCUCCAUAUAAAAGCUAUCCCAAAUAACAGUGUCUUUCACACAAUAAAGGUUUAUUUUUCUCUCAUGUAAAUGAGUUAUGAGUAUAGGCAUUCCAACACUGUUAUGGGAAUAACUUACACAUCUGUGAUUCAGGCUUCUUUUUUUCCCCUCAUUACUACCUUUAGUGUGUGAUCUCCAUCCUCAAGUUUGCCUCAUGGUUCAUGAUGGCUGCUUAAGCUCUCACCAACAUGCACAUUUCAGGCAUGAGGACAAAGAAAAGAGGAGUUAGGAAAAAUGUGUGUGCCUUCAAGCGAAGCCAGUUCUCUUCUAAUACUUUUCAAGAAGCCCCACUCUGUCACUCAUCUCCUCCUUAAGUGUACAAGAGGUUGCUCCCAACAAUAUAGAGAUUCUGUUACUAAGGAACAAGGAGAGAAUGGAUUUUGGGGAGACAACUUCCAGUCCUGCCACGAGGAACAAACCUUCAAAAAAUUAUAUCCUCCAAACGUGUUGAGAAGUGAGAACGAAAAUACCAAGAAGAAAAUAGGAAAGUGAAUGAAAUGAGUACAGUUUAAUUAGUUAACAUGUUUUAGAAUAAUUUAAGACAAACUAAUGCUCAGAAAAACCUGAGCUAGAUAUUGCUGCUCUGAUUUCGUAGUUUUUGAACUUGAAAAUGUUUUCAAGAGUAAUUGAAUCACAUGUUCCCUUUUUUCCUUUGGAAUUGGAACCUCAGUAAGGGGUUAAAAUACAAUCCCCAACGAGUACAGUUCGUACAGGGGUCACAAAGAUGAUUAAGACAUAGUCCCUGCCUUGAGUAAUAUGCAAUCUAGUGUGGAAGGCAAAUAGAUACAGAGAUACUUCUAGUGUGGAGUGAGGAGUGAUCUGAUAGAGGUGAGCUCAGGGUAAGAGGGACUACAUGUUACAGGAACCUGAGGAAGCCUGAGUAGGGGAGUAGCAUUAGGAAGGGGAGGGGAGGUGGAAAUUGCACUAAGUCCCAAAGGAUCAGUUGCAGGGGAGGGUGUGGAUGUAUAUGUGGGGAGGGGAGGAGGUGGUGGGAGGAUAGAAUUAGUUAGCUAAAGAGAAGAGCCAAUGGGCAGAGAACUUGCCCAGCAAGAACAGAGUAUGUGAAGUCUAGCAAGUGAAAGAGAGCACUGUUUAUUCAAGGGCUUUGCCCACUCUUAUGUCUAUCUUCAGUUGGGAAUGACUGAAGAGAUGAAAGUGGAGAGGAAGCCACUGGGACUGGAUCAUAAAGGGCCUUUGGGACAAACUACUUGAUUUUUCCAUUAUGCUUGAGUGCAGGAAUCACUGGAGGACUUGAAGCAGGGAUGUGAUGUGCUCAGACUUGCAUUUCAGAAAAAUGAAUAUAGAGGCACAGUGAGAAUGGGUUGGAGGUCAGCAAGAUUCAAAGAAAAGGGUAGUAAAGAGGCACAGUAGACAAGAAAUGAUGAGGGCUUAAACAAAGUAAAGAGUGGCAAGUGACUUGCAAGUCCUUAAGGCGGGAGAAGGGGGAAGAAACUAUAGUAUUUGGCAUGGACUGAAUCAGGAAGUGGGGAAAAUUGGGGAAAGAAAGGAGGAGGAUGCUCUAGUUUCUGUCCUGGACAACUAUGUGAAAAGUAUUACUCUUCAUUAAGAAGUGAAAACAGGAAAGAGAGUAGAUUUUGUAGCAAAAAUAAGGUGUGUUCAGUUUUCUGUGAAAUGGGGUUAAGAUGCUAGUUGGACAUUCACAUGGGACUAGAGAGGGUUUGAACUUAGGAAAAGAACUGGGCUGGAGAAAUAAGUUUAAGGGUAGCCUUAAGCCAUGCUGUGACUAAGCCACGGUGAGUAGGGUAGGGUGAAAGGAGGACAGAACUAUGAAUAUACAACAUUUAGGAACAGGAGGAUGAGUGAAUAAAGGAGACAGAGAAGGAACCAAGAACAAGGAGAAGUGAAACUAGGCAAUAUUAGCACUGUAGAAGUAAAGAAAAACACUUCAAAUACUAUAGAUGUCAAGUAAAGUAAGAGCCACCAUACUUAUUGGAUUCAGCCAUAAAAAGAUCAUUGAGGAACAACGCAAGGUAGCUUUAGCAGAAAGAUAAGGAUGAGGAGUGCAUGAGCACCAAGGAAGAUAAAUGUAAAAUACUUUCAAGCAGUGAUGCUCAUUGAGUUAGGGAGAAGUUAGACUUUAUAUCCAUCUUUUUAAAAAUGGAAGAGUCAUGAGCAAGUUUAAAGCCAUACAAAGGUGAGAGACAGACAGUAUAAGAAAGGGAGGAGAUGCUGAAGCAAGUUUCUGAGAAGUUAGCAGCAGGAGGAAUUUGGAGAAUAUGUGAAAGGAUUAAUCUUGAACCUCCAGUGUAAGAGGAAGAAAGAAAACCUGGAUAAGUGUGGCUAAGAGGCUCCUAAGUACUGGGGAGGACAGCAAGGACAGCAACUGUACGUCUUAAUGCGUUGUUUCUAAUGGGUAAUUGAGGAAUGAGUUGCCUAGGAACAGAUCCUGCAUCAGUCCUGCAGCCCCAUGAGGCUGAAGAUUUCGAAUUUGUGCUUCCUCCAGUCCAUGUGGCUAUGUCAUUUUCUCCAUUAGUGCUCUGCUCAGCAAUUCAGGUAUAAGGUAGCUGAGAACAGUUUGAUUUACACAGGGUUGAAGUUCUCCCAAACAGGUGUGAAGGGAGGACAAGGGGACAAGGAAGGACAAGAGACUUGUUGGUUUGGGCAAUAAAGUGGCUACAUUGGAAAGAAAAUGAAGACAAAAGACCAACAUGGUUAAUUCUGUGGGAUGGGCUUAAGAUUAGGUCUUGCUGAUAUUUAAAAAUUAAUUAAAGUCAAAGUGAGAAGCGAGCUGUAAGUUUGAUUGCAGAGGAGCUUUGUAAUACUGUGAUUUCCCUCUCAAGUUCAAGACUGAAAAAUGUUAUUUAAUUGAAUGUUAAAUUGUUAUUGCUUGAUCCAAAAUGAGUUAGUCUCAUAUGAAUAAUCAAAUAUUAUCAUAAUAUAUUCCUAUUUAAAAUAUGGUAUCAAGUGCUUAACACAAAUUUUUUAAAUCCUGUUCAAUAACUAGUUUUUUUUGUUUUGUUUUGUUUUUUGAGAUGGAGUCUCUCUCUGUCUCCCAGGCUGGAGUGCAGUGGUACGAUCUCGGCUCAUUGCAAGCUCUGCCUCCUGGGUUCACGCCAUUCUCCUGCCUCAGCCUCCCAAGUAGCUGGGGCUACAGGCACCCACCACCACGCCCAUCUAAUUUUUGUAUUUUUAGUAGAGACAGGGUUUCAACUAGUAUUUUCUUAAAUGUAGCAUUGAAGUUAUAGCUGAUUUCAUUUGAUGUUUGAGACUUUUAGUUGUGCUGUGGUUUCAAAUCCCCCUUUUGACACCCAGUUAAGAUUAAUCUUUUUUUACUUAUUACUUACAAGCUAUUAUUCUACUUCAUAGGCAUAUAACUUUUUAUUGCAGUUGAGCCCAGAAAAACUGGUGGAUGAUGUUGCAAUUUAUAUAUCACAAACUGCAAUAAUUUUAGGUUCUGUCAUAUAAUUUUAGUAAUUUUAUUUAAAAUUUAAGAUUACCCAGUUUAGGCCCUGUAGUAACAGAAUAACUUCUUCAGAGAUCAAUUUUCUCAGCUAUAAAAUCAAGGGACUAGAUUGCUUGUUAAUUCUAAUUCUAUGAUUCUUUAUUUUAAUCUUAUUUUCAAUUUCACUUUAACUUCAUGAUAAUUCUAAUAUCAGUCAGUUAACUGUGCACAGUUACAAAUUCUAUAACUCAGUCUCUAAGCCUUCUACAUUGGCACAAGAUGAAGGCCAUUGGUUAGAAGAGAAGUCAAGUGACUACUUGUGGAUAGUUUAGCAAAUAUCUAACAUACUGGGGAAAAAUUCAAGAUGCAAAACUUGCUGUUGGGUAACUUGGUGAUCAAAAAAACUCUUUUCUUAGACUAAAUAUCUAAUGACAAUUGAUUAUUAUAACCUAUAUUUAAACUUAAAACUAACAGUAUCUAUAGGAUGGUUCUCCUGAAAGAAUUAUAUGGUUCAGGACUUGUAUGGACAAGGCUGCACCUUCAGAAUUAAGUAUUUUAUUUCAGCAGAAUCCAAUAUGAAAAUUACCAUUUCUUUCAAGAAAAGUGUUGAAGACAUUAUUUGCAUUUUAGAUGUUUUCAAAUGGCAUAUUCUGAAGACUAGGUUGAAGCCAUUGUUAUAAUAAAUAGCUUCCAAUGUUUCUCUUAAAAGAGUUAUUCUUUUUAUAUACGAUAGAGUACUACUAAUAUUUUUAAUGUCUUAAUAAUGCACUAAAUAUAGUGUCUUUAAACUAUCUUCAUAAAAAAUGACUAUGUAUCUUUAAAUAAUCAAAGAAAAAUCUUAAUUUUUAGAACUAUUUUUCAUUUAUUUUUAAAACUUAAAGUUUUGAAUUAGUGAGUUUCAAGCACAAUACAACUUGUCAUUCCUCUAUAUUUAGAAUUCAGAUUAUUAUUGAUGACUAUUAGUUAGAAGGGUCUUCUAUUAAGCAAAUGGGAUUGUUUUUAUUUUUAAGGUUUUUAUAAAUGUAGUCAUUUUAGAUGCUUUGAAAAAUGAAGGAGCUUUCAUCUCUCUUCUAAUUUGUAUAAAAGCUUUGUUUAUAUAACAAGUAGAAAUUUAACAUUUUUCAAAAAUUAAUUCAAGAUGGAUUAAAGACUUACUUGUUUGACCUAAAACCAUAAAAACCCUAGAAGAAAACCUAGGCAUUACUAUUCAGGACAUAGGCAUGGGCAAGGACUUCAUGUCUAAAACACCAAAAGCAAUGGCAACAAAAGCCAAAAUUGAUGAAUGGGAUCCAAUUAAACUAAAGAGCUUCUGCACAGGAAAAGAAACUACCAUCAGAGUGAACAGGCAACCUACAAAAUGGGAGAAAAUUUUUGCAACCUACUCAUCUGACAAAGGGCUAAUAUCCAGAAUCUACAAUGAACUCAAACAAAUUUACAAGAAAAAAACAGCCCCAUCAAAAAGUGGGCGAAGAACAUGAACAGACACUUCUCAAAAGAAGACAUUUAUGCAGCCAAAAAACACAUGAAAAAAUGCUCAUCAUCACUGGCCAUCAGAGACAUGCAAAUCAAAACCACAAUGAGAUACCAUCUCACACCAGUUAGAAUGGCCAUCAUUAAAAAAUCAGGAAACAACAGGUGCUGGAGAGGAUGUGGAGAAAUAGGAACACUUUUACACUGUUGGUGGGACUGUAAACUAGUUCAACCAUUGUGGAAGUCAGUGUGGCGAUUCCUCAUGGAUCUAGAACUAGAAAUACCAUUUGACCUAGCCAUCCCACUACUGGGUAUAUACCCAAAGGACUAUAAAUCAUGCUGCUAUAAAGACACAUGCACACGUAUGUUUAUUGUGGCACUAUUCACAAUAGCAAAGACUUGGAACCAACCCAAAUGUCCAACAACGAUAGACUGGAUUAAGAAAAUGUGGCACAUAUACACCAUGGAAUAGUAUGCAGCCAUAAAAAUGAUGAGUUCAUGUCCUUUGUAGGGACAUGGAUGAAACUGGAAAUCAUCAUUCUCAGUAAACUGUCGCAAGGACAAAAAACCAAAUACCGCAUGUUCUCACUCAUAGGUGGAAAGUGAACAAUGAGAACUCAUGGACACAAGAAGGGGAACAUCACACUCUGGGGACUGUUGUGGGGUGGGGAGAUGGGAGAGGGAUAGCAUUAGGAGAUAUACCUAAUGCUAAAUGACGAGUUAAUGGGUGCAGCACACCAACAUGGCACAUGUAUACAUAUGUAACAAACCUGCACAUUGUGCACAUGUACCUUAAAACUUAAAGUACAAUAAUAAAAAAAAGAAAUUUAACAUUUUUCUAGCAUUUUUAAAUAAAUUUGAAAAACUACUUAGACAAUAUGAUUUUUUAUCUUUUUAAGCUAAAUAACUUAAAAACAAGUUUUUAUGGUAGAAUGUGUAUAGCUAGUGUAGCAACUUCAAAACUGGAUAUUUCUUUUAUUUUUGUUUCUUUUUUUGUUAAUAGUCUUUUUUAAGAACCAUGAAACUCACAAUUUAAGAUUCACACACAUAUGUGCAUACACACACACACACACACACGCACACACGGAUUCCCCAAUUCAAAUUUUUAACAUAAGAUUUGUGACACUGACAAUUUUUGUCAGAACAUACCAAAAGCUCUAAAAUAUCUCAUCCCUUUGACCCUUGAAUUCUAUUCCCAGGAGUAUAACCCAAGAAAACAAGAAAAAUGUUUCUGUACAAAUAAUUUUAGCAGUGUUAUGUAUGAUAUUAAAAAGUGGCAGCAAUCUCAAUGUCCAAUAAUAGGGGGCAUAAUUGAGUAGAUUAUGGUUCAAUAGUAGUAGUGUGGAUUACAUUGACAAAAAAAUGAUGAAUAUAAAUUGCUAAGAAAAAAUAUGAUAAUCUGCUUAUGAAGUAAUAUAAAAUGAGAAAGUGUAGAAUUAACAAUAUAAAUUAUGCUUACAUGUAAAAAAAGAUUUCAAAGGAAAAAAUUUACAUAGGCAAUAUGUAAAGGUGGAAGUAUUAAUUUCUUUUUAAAAAUACUUUAAAUUUGAUGUGACAGUAAACAUAUUUGUAAUAGAGAGCUUUUAAAGAAUGUCAGCUGUAUGAUGAAUAAACAAGGUUUCUUUUUUUUUUUUUUUCGAGAUGGAAUCUCACUCACUCCAUUGCCCAGGCUGGAGAACAGUGGUGCGAUCUCAGCUCACUGCAACCUCCUUCUCCUGGGUUCAAGUGAUUCUCCUGCCUCAGCCUCCCGAGUAGCUGGGAUUACAGGCAUCCGCCAUCAUGCCCAGCUAAUUUUUAUAUUUUUAGUAGAGGCGGGAUUUCACCAUGUUGGCCAAGCUGGUUUGAACUCCUGGCCUCAAGUGAUCUGCCCACCUUGGCCUUCCAAAGUUCUGGGAUUAGAGGUGUUAGCCACCAAGCCCAGUCAGGUUUCAUAUUAGUAGUGACAGUGUGGUCAUAACUUUCAUCAUAUAUAUUAUUUAAUGUUAGUAAAAUAUUUAUAAUAAAAGAAGAAAAACGUAAUUGUUAUGAUAUGUCUAAUCAGCAAUCAAACAAAGCUAGCACUGCCUCUGAUGGGACAACAAUAUACAAAGGAUAAAGGUGUGUGACUUCUAACCAGAAAACACAGGUGAUUUUUUUUUUUUUUCUCUUAGAAAACCACCAGCCUGGUGCAGUUAGAAGCAUUUCCUGAGAGUGUCUGAGAGAAGGCUUGGGUGGACAUUGGAAGGUGGUGUUCUAUCUGCCAAUUUUGGCUCAUUAGUAGGGCUUGAUAUCAAUUUAGUGGAUAGAGAACUACAUAUUGGUUUUUGUUUGUUUACUUUUGUAUCAUAUAUUUUGGAAACUUUUCCUUUUACAUUUAAAUGCUAAUGAAAUCACAUUCCCUAUUGACUUUCUUAUAUUUGUACUUUAUCGUAAUACUUAUAGGUAAGUAUUGUUUCAUGAAACUUGUCUCAGUUUUAUCUGCAGGGAAGGUGCAAGGUGAAGAGGUAGAGGGGCAGAGGAGAGGAAAGGAGAGCAAGAAUAUAAAAUUUGUUACUUGGGGCCGGGCACGGUGGCUCACGCAUGUAAUCCCAGCACUUUGGGAGGCCGAGGCGGGUGGAUCACGAGGUCAGGAGAUCGAGACCAUCCUGGCUAACAUGGUGAAACCCCGUCUCUACUAAAAAUACAAAAAAUUAGCUGGGCGUGGUGGCGGGCGCCUGUAGUCCCAGCUACUCGGGAGGCUGAGGCAGGAGAAUGGCAUGAACCCAGGAGGUGGGGCCUGCAGUGAGCCGAAAUCGCGCCACUGCACUCCAGCCUGGGCGACAAAGCAAGACUCCAUCUCAAAAAAAAAUAAAUUGUUACUUAUGGUUUGGGUGAAAAAACUUUGAAAAAUAAUACCUUACAGGGCAAAAAUAAUCUGUUGACAAGACAGGACUCAAAAUGUUGACUUUCCAGGUUUCUCAGAUUCAAAACAGCCUCAGGCCCUUGUGACCUCAUUCGCCAGGAGAAGUUCUUGGGCUGCUUUCAAUUCCCAGAGACUUCAUUAUAGAAUCUGGAUAUUCUGGUGUGUAAAAAAAAUGUAUUCUCUAAAUUACUAUAAAUAUAUUAAAAUAUUAUAUUACACGUUAGGUUCUCAACGUUGUCCAUUUACUAUUUUUUAGUAUAUCUAAAACAGUAUGCUAAUAAACUGGUAAGAUUUUCAGUUUACAUAUUCUUUAUAAUAUCUUAUGUUUCUUUAUUUCUUUCUGCUGUUGUAUUGAUUUAUGACAUUAUUUUCCAUGGUCAAUUACAAGAAUUUGCAUGGUAGCAUAGAAAAAAAAAAAUUAAGGCCGGGCGCGGUGGCUCACGCUUGUAAUCCCAGCACUUUGGGAGGCCGAGGCAGGCGGAUCACGAGGUCAGGAGAUCGAGACCACGGUGAAACCCCGUCUCUACUAAAAAACACACAAAAAAAUUAGCCGGGCGUGGUGGCGGGCGCCUGUAGUCCCAGCUACUCGGAGAGGCUGAGGCAGGAGAAUGGCGUGAACCCGGGAGGCGGAGCUUGCAGUGAGCCGAGAUUGCGCCACUGCACUCCAGCCUGGGCGACAGAGCAAGACUCCGUCUCAAAAAAAAAAGAAAAAAAAAAAAAAGAAAAAAAAAAUUAAGAAAUUAGGGCAACCAAGUUGUCCUUCAGUAGGUGAAUGGGUUAAUGAACUGUGGCACAUUCAGACAAUGGAAUAUUAUUCAGGGCAAAAAAAAAAAAAAGAUCACAUCAUGAAAAGACAUGGAGGAACGUUCAAUGCAUAUUACUAAGUGAAAGAAGCCAAUCUGAAAAGGCUAUAGGCUGUAUGAUUCCAACUAUAUGACAUUCUGGAAACGGCAAAACUAUAGGGACAGUUAAAAGAUCAGUGGUUGCCAGGGGUUAGGGAGAAGGAGGGAUGAUGAGGCAGAAUCCGGAGGAUUUUUAAGACAAUGAAACUACUCCAUGUGAUACAAUUAUUAUGUAAAUACGUUAUACAUUUGUCAAAACCCAUAUAAUGUACAACACCAUGAUUGAACCCUAGUGUAAACCAUGGACUUUGGGUGAUAAUGAUGGGUCAGGGUAGGUUCAUUGAUUGUAACCAAUGUUCCAGUUUGGUGGGGGAUCUCAAUAGUGGAGAAAGCUGUACCUUGUGUGGAGCCACGGGGUAUAUGGGAGCGCAGUACUUUUGCUCAAUUUUGCUGUGGACCUAAAAGUGCUCUUGAAAAUAAAGUUUAUUUUAAAUAAAAAAAGGAGUUAUGAAUUAAUAUGAGAAUUGCAAAAAGGAUAUAAUUGUGGGGGAAUAUAGAAAUCAGCUACAUAAUUCCAUGGAGUAGCUCUACUGAAAGUCUAAUGAUAGUGCUAUGUCCAAAGGACUGAAGCAACCAUCUGUGGUGUGCUAUGGGGGCCAACACAGAAGACAAGGAAAAAAAUCUUAAAUUUUACCAUAUCCUGUUCUAUCAAUGACCUUUCUACCAACUGCCUAUUUUAGUUUUACUCUGCUUCAUCUCUAUUGCUUCUGAACUUCCUUUUCGUUUCAUAACAGAAACUCUGAGCCUUUGCCGCUUCACUAAAUUUCAUUUUAAAACUUAUUCUUUCUUAGAAAUGAUAAUACAGAAACCACUUUUACAAAUACAACAUUUAAAGAAAAUCACAGUCACCUAAAUAAUUUGUUUCUGUAUCAGAGAAGGCAGUGGAGCUACAGACGGUCUGUUCAGUCAGCUGAGGAUUUAGGACUGAAGAACUGUUAAUUCCCAAAGCGGCUCUACUGACUAUUCGAUAGUCCCAGGACCUGAAGUCUUUCAGAGUCUGCUUCAUGCACUAUAAAUAUAUAAAAUGAGAAAAUAAAAUUAAUUGUUGUGUUUUAAGAAUAUAGCACUGUAAGUUUAGGCUAUUAUAUUAAUUAUCUGUCUCUGGGUAACAAGAUACCAUAAACUUGGUGCCUCGGAAGCACAUAAAUUUAUUAUCUCACAGAUUCUUGGGGUCAGGAGUGUAGGCAAGACAUACUUGGAUUAUCUGCUCAGGGUCUCACUUGGUUGAAAUCAAGGUGUUGGCCACUAACAAACUGAGGUACCAGAGAAAUUGUUUUUCCAAGUGUUUAUUACAGUAAUCCCCUAGCCUUCUCAAUAAGUUUCAGUGUCUUCCCUGGGUAGUGACAUUGCAGAGAGCUACUGUCAUUUUUCCAACUAUCUUCAGUUCAAAAAUAUUUACUAAGUACUUCUUAUUUGCCAGUUUAAAGCAUUGGAAGUAAGAGACAAAUCAGAGGACCUGUUCUCAGGGAACAUAUGAUCUACUAGCAAAGCAAAUUGGGGGAAUGAUGUGAAGGGAAACCAAGUCUGAGUCAUUUUGAGAAGAGGAUGGAAACUCAGAGUGGCUGUCAGGUUCAAUUUGUCUUGAGAGAAACUUCCCCACUAGUGAGUAACUAAAAUUCUCUGCAGAUGUUACAUUUGCCAUGAGUACCUGUUACAUUUGGAGACUGAAGCAGUCUGCAGAGGUUAUCCAAAUUGAAAGCUAAAAUGAGAUUCUCAAAGAAAGAUUAAGUCCAAAUAGCAAUUUUAUAGUAGGGUUUGUGGAGGAUCUGGGGAGAGAUCACAGGCAAUGGAUAUAGUUGAGCGAUAUAGUUGUAUUCACCCAGCCCAUAAGGGAGAUGAAAUUCUGACAAGAGUAUCAUAGAGUGAAUGAAGACUUCUCCAAGCACAGUUAUGCAGAUGGAUGAAAAGAUUCUAGGAAGUUGGAUUGUGUGCUGAAAGUGUCAGCAAGCUGCUGGUGCCAUUUUAUGCCCUGAACCCUAUAGGUACAUCCAUAAGGAUUUCAGCUGCUAAGCCCUUAAGUCCUGUUAGUGCUUGUCUCCUUCUCCAGUAUCCUUUACCUGCCCUCUAAUUAUGACUUUAUUGAUGCUGAUUGAGCAUCUUUUGGGAGGGAGACCUAGGAAUUGUUCUGAGUUGUUCAGUGUGUUUGCAGUGUAAUGAUCCUUGGUGCCAAAGUAACACCAUUAGAGGGCUCUUUCCUGGGGAAAAACUUAAGUGUCAGGAUGACAUUGGUCACCUAUAAAUUAGGGAAGAGAGUGCAGAUGAGAAUUCAGGUGAAGUCAAUGAUGUCUUGCCCUUUUCCUGAGGGCGAAAUACAGGAGUUGGGAUGUUUAGAAAAGCUGAAUAGGCAACGAGUUGAUCUUUGAUUGGCAUGAGGUUGAAUGUCAGAUUGCCCAGUGAAAGUGUUCUGAAAAGAAGCUCCAUGGUUAAGGUGUCAAAGUGUCACAUCAGUGAAUACAAUGUUUCCUUUUCUGUGGGUUUUCUAAUAAUAAUGAACAGCCAGGAAGAUUUUGUGCUUUACUUGCAGAGAUGGCACCCCAUGACUUUCUAUCACCUUUGGGAGCCAGCCUGUAAGAAAGAGAGUCCCAAAGGUGAAGAGGCUCUCUCUCACCUGGGAGAGUAGGCGUCCCAAUGUCUCUUAGGGCAGUGCUUCUCAAACUUAUAUGAGCAUAUGAAUCACCUGGGACUCUUACUAAGAUGCGGGGUCUGAUGUAGUAGGUUAGAGAGGUGGAGGAGGUGAAAAUAAAAAUUUGCAUUUCAAACAAGUUUCCAAGUUAUUCAGGUGCCUCUGGUCCAUAAUCUUCAUUUUAAGUAACAAAACUUUGGAGCAUUAGAAUAGGAAAGACAUACCUUAGAUGAUGUUAUUGUGGCCUUGAUAUACUAUAAAGCCACAAAAUGAGAGGAAACAUAGCUUACCCCAUUAGCUGAUGUAUGAACUAAUAAAAGAACGAUUCAGGAUCACUUACAGAUCUAUGAGAAAAAAACAAAACCCAAGCAAACAAACAUGCUUCCCGGUGGUAGUUUCUGUCUUUUCUUAAGAAUAUGUUAUAAAAGAACAGGAAAUCUGGCAGUUGCUAGAAAGCAGACAAACCUAACUCCAUUGUCUCCUAAGUCUGAAGGACAUAAUCUUCUGUUUUAAGUUUUAGGGGUCACUUAAUACCAGAUGGUUAAGUAACUUGGUCAUGCUACUACCCACAACCUACCCGCUUCAUGCCCUGCCAUUGAGCCUAUACCUCCCACUGGCUCUCAACUGCCUUCAUAGCCAGGAAGAUUUUGUGCUUUACUUGCAGAGAUGGCACCCCAUGACUUUCUAUCACCUUUGGGAGCCAGCCUGUAAGAAAGAGAGUCCCAAAGGUGAAGAGGCUCUCUUUCACCUGGGAGAAUAGGGGUCCCAAUGUCUCUUAGGGCAGUGCUUCUCAAACUUACAUGAGCAUAUGAAUCACCUGGGACUCUUACUAAGAUGCAGGGUCUGUAUGCCUUCAUACAGUAAUACUGGAAGCAACUGAAGGUUUAUUCGCUUGGGGGUGAAUUCUAUACUUAGUGAUCAAGUAUUCUAGAAUGACUUGUGGUGGGGGGAAAGGUUGAGAAUCUCUCUAGGAGUGGAGUCACAGUGGAGCCCUGGUUAGAAGAUAGCUUCAGUAUUCUUUAUUGUAAAUAGGUUAUUUGAAUUUUUAAUGCCAUGCAAUUCAAGGAUCGCCACAUAAUUUGGGUUCUCUUAAACUUAAUGCAGUGAAACUUUCCUUGUGUAAUAGAUGCUUUUGUAAUGCAAUCUUGGAAAUAGUUUUCAAAGUUCAUAAGGGUUGCAAAAGUUCUACUUGAUCUGCUCGCAUAUACAAUUGUUCCUUUCCCUGCUCCUCUUUCUACUGCUAUUUAUAUCAGCUGUCCUCCAGGAGAUCAGUUUUCUUCUCAGUAUCUGAUAUAAAUAACCACAGUUCUCUAAGCAUGGUCUGUUCAAAAUUUCCAGGUAGUUCAUGGACUGAUAUCUGGUUAACUGUAUUCAUGAUGUGGCAGUGACAUGCAUUUGUUACUAAUAUCCAUUAAUACUCUUUAUAUAAAAUGCAAUAACAGUUACACCCGACCUCAAUGAUAUAUUUAUUAAAAACCCUGCUAUUUUUAAUGGACAGGUAAGAUGAGUUUGAAUACUGUAGGGUCAUUCAGAAAGAAGCAGCAGUGAUAUUCCUUUAGGCCAUGCCCUUGAGUUGAAAUUUUCCCUGAGAGUCAACUCCAAAUGCAGAAAUGAACAUAAUGUACCCAAUAGAAUGUGGCUGUCUGAUUUGCCCCAAGCCUGUUCAAUAUCUUUCAGACCGAAGGAGUGUGGGCUUCUGCUUAUUUUCAUGUUCCUUAUACUGUAACUAAAAGAAACCAGAAAUAUUCUUGCUUCUUUGAAAAUAUUACAGAUAAUAAAAACUGGAAUACAAAACUCUCUUUUCAGGAGUGAAUAUUGUUUUUAGCUUAAAAUUGCCCAUGCGAAAGGCUAGUCAGUCUAGCUUCUGCAAAAAAUUCUUCAAAAACCUUUGAUCAUUUUAACCAUUUUAGGUGUAUUUUGAGCUAAAAUGCACUCUUGACUUCAGGUAAUGCAGCGGCAGCCAUUAAAUACUUAGAAGAUUUAAAGGUCAAACUAUGGAACAGAAGUAGAAGUUUUAACUAUAUAAAUAACAGCAUUAAUAAAUAGGCUUUAGUUUUUCUCCACUGGUAAUGAGUCAAAAUAUUAUUAAAUAUAAUUAAUGAAAUAUUUUAUAAUGUGCAUUAUGUAUUUUAAAUAUUUUUCAUUUUAGUCAUCAAAACAAUUUAAUGAUUUUAAUAGAAUUUUAAUGGAUUUACGCUAACAUUACCAAGCAGCUUCAUAAUUUAAAUUUUAAAAUGAAUUUGUAGCAAACACAAACCCAUUUUAUUUUUAUUUUAUGUUAUACAAUAUAAUGGAUGACAACAGAAUGUAAUGGCAAUUUUUCAAAUCCAAUUUAUUAACGUCCCUAGUGGUGACCAUACCAAGAUUAUGCUGCAGUAAACCCUUUUAAAAUCUAAAUCCUUUCCUUACUAUUAGGUCCAUGCUUAUAUUCACUUUGUAUCUAUUACAAACAACUUACAAGGAAAGAAUGCUGGAACUGGAUUCAACCUCUGGUUUGUAUUCUUACCAGGUCUAUUGACACUGAGUCUUAGCUUUCUCUUUGACGAAUUGCGGACUCUAAUCUGUACCUUGCCUAUUUUUUGGAGUAGUAUUAACUGAGGUGAAAAUAAAGUAUUAGAUGUGACAUGAAUUUUUAUUGUAUCUUUCAUGGUAGACUGACUAGGUUUUGCUGCAGUAACAUAAGAAAAACAAAGCCCCAAGUCUCAGUGAAUAUAAUCUUAGCCCAUAGGCCGAAGUUCAUUUCUCCCUCAUGCUUCAUGUCUGCAGGAGCUCAGCUUGUAAUCCCUUUGAGACCCAGCCUAAUGGAAACCCCAUGUUAGCAUGUGUUUUCAUAAUCACCAGGUUAGGGAAAAGAUACUGGUAAAUCAUGCACUGGCACUUAAAACGUUCUACCGGAAAUGAUACCUCUGCUCCCACUCUGUUGGCCAAAGUAAGUCACAUGGCCACACAGGUAAGCUCAGAGUAGGUGGGAAAGUGCAUUCUAUCAGGAGCCUAGAGGGAGAGGGGAACAGGCAUAUCUACGAUGAGAUCUAAUGACUAUCACAGGUAUUUAAAUGUAAAACUGUAAUCUAUUUAUCCUGUGGUGAAUUUAGUGGAGAAAUUAUUUUUGCCUUGCAAUGGUAAGGAGGACUGUUAUGUAACUUUCUACUAUGAAUUAUAGAUAUGUACUGCCAUCUACUUCUCAUCUAUUGAGAAGGGGAGAUGUUCUGAUAUGAAAUAAAUAAACAUCAGAAUAUUUUUUUCACAAUAUAUGCACUAUUAUGUUUCUAUCAGUAGGAAGAGACAGCUAUACAAAAGUGAAAUAGAAAAAAUGGUAAGAGGGCCGGGCACGGUGGCUCAUGCCUGUAAUCCCAGUACUUUGGGAGGCCAAGGUGGGCGGAUCACCUGAGGUCAGGAGUUCGGGACCAGCCUGGCCAACAUGGUGAAACCCUGUCUCUACUAAAAAUACAAAAAUUAACUGGGUGUGGUGGUGGGAGCCUGUAGUCCCAGCUGCUUGGGAGGCUGAGGCAAGAGAAUCACUUGAACCCGGGAGGCAGAGGUUGCAGUGAGCCAAUAUCGUGCCACUGCACUCCAGCCUGAUGACAGAGCGAGACUCCAUCUAAAAAAAAAAAAGAAAAAGAAAAAGUGGUAAGAAAGGCAACAGAGGUACAACAGAUUUGCUGAGAAAUCCUAUAGUUAGAAUGGGGAAGGUUUUUUGGGAAACAUAAGUUAAGGACUGGAUAUUGAAGCCUGGAAUGGAUAUGGAUUUAUGGACAGGAAAGGAUGAUCUAUAAUACAGAGAAGUAUAAUUCAACACAGAAAUUCUGAUUUCCAGGCUAUUACUGGAAUACACUAUUUCCAGGCUAUUAAUGACUACAUUUAUGUUAUUUUUUGCUAAAAUAUCAGGACCUUUUAAUCUAAUGACUCAGCUCUUCUGUGUCUGUUUUUCUUGCACUUUGCCUUAUUGCUUUGCCAUUUAAAAAUCCAGCCAUGAAAGGGAUUUUGGAAACUGUGUUCUUUUCCAUGUAUGUAAUUACUCCUUAAAACUGAAAAGAUCAAUUAGGAAAUUAUUGGCUCCUUCAUACUUCUUUUACCACCUCUAUUUAUUAAUUGAUUGAAUUGGGUUCGCCAGGCUUAGCUCUUUAAUAAUCAGAUCAAUAAAAGAUUAAAUGUUUAAAUUAAGUGAGCACAUGUAACUUUCACACUCCUUGCAAUUUCUAGGAGCCACAUCCAGUCAUUCAGGAUUGUCAGUCAGUAACGGCAGCAAUCAAGGCUAGAAUCAGAGUACUUGCAACUUUUCAUUCUUUUUCCUAAACUUCAGCCUACAUUUAUGGGAAUAAUAAUGCAGCCAUGCUUUCCUCAAACUCAGUUUAUAUUUUUGUUUGAAACUAAAGCAGCUUUUUGAGACAAGAAUUAAGAUUGUUGCACUGAUGCUAGUCAUAGUGAAUUUCUAACCCUUCUAACCCUUCUUAAAGGAGAUGGUCGUAUUUGUUUCCUUGGGCUGCCAUAUCAAAUUACCACAAACUGAGUGGUUCAAAAGAACAGAAAUGUAUUCUCUCACAGUACUUGAUGCCAGAAGUUUGAAGUCAAGGUGUGUCUGAAGGUCAUAUUCUUUCUGAAGGUUCCAGGGAAGAAGGCUUCCUUGCCUCUUCCUAACAUCUAGUGGUCCCUAGCAAUCCUUGACGUGUGUUGACAUGUAGCCGCCUCACUCCGGUCUCUGCCUCUGUCAUCACAUGGCUGUUUGCCCUCUGUCUCCCCUGUAUCUCUAACUCCAAAUUUCUCUCUCCUUAUAAGGACACCAGUGGUUGAAAUUAGGGUCCACUGUAAUCCAAUGUGAUCAUAUCUUAAUUAUAUCUGCAAAGACUCUAUUUGAAAAAAAAAAAAAAAGGGUCACAUUCACAAAUACCAGAGUUUAGGACUUCAACAUAUCUUUAUAGGAGACACAAAUCAACUCACAACAAUGGCAUUAUUGAAACUUUUUUGUAAUUUUUUAGCAUUCUGUUUGCAGGAUUCUGUGGGAUACUUCCCCUCCCAGCCCAGAAAUAUAUGCCAGUUACUAAUUUCAUCAAGAUUAUUCCCCUUGCUACCGAUUGCCACCUUAUUUAAAAGUCUGCAUUAUUGUUCACCUGCCCUAAGACCUAGUUUCUUGAUUUCCGGUCUUCUCUUUCUCAUGAUUUUCUCCAUGCAACUUGUUAAACUUUUACUUUCUUUCAGCAAGCACUGGGAGGCAGUUCAGAUGUACCAGGUAGACAGGCUAGUGAUCAAGGGUGAGUCAGGGAUUUGCUGACAGGUGCUAAUGGGAGUAGUCAUUGAAGUAAACCUGAAGCAAUGGUGAAACAAAACAAGGUUUGCAUCACUUCUGAAGAAGAUACUUAGAAUUGUUUUCUUCCUCUUGCUUCAACAGCUACAUUGGAUAUAUUGAGCUGAAUGCUUUAUUUUGACUCUAAGCAAAAUCUCAAAGCAACAUCUUUUCUUUCAAAGUACCAUUAAUGUAAUUUUGAGUACAGGAAUAAGGAAAAAAGUUAGAAAAUUUCAUUAAGGAUAAUAAAUUGAGACCAAACACUACCAGAUAAUACAUCAAGAACAUUAACAUUAACAACAUCCUUUUAUGCUAUGCUACAUUAUUGUGUUAAAUUGAUGUAUACCAUACAUUAUAGAUACUAAUGUAGUGGUUGCGGAAAAUAAUGAAGCUCUUUGAUUCUAUCUAGCAGAACUGCAAACUCUUAAUUAUAAUAACAAAAGAUUAUAUGUUACACUCUAAGUCUUGCCUAGAAUGAUACAAAGAUAUGGAUUUUGAGUUAUUUUAAGGAUUAUAUUAUAAUCCUUAUAUUUAUGUUCUAGUUCAGAGGUUGAUGAUAACCUAAGGUCCAGAAUUUGGAUAGAAAAAAAUAUAUUUAUUUUUCCUAACUCUAACUGAUAUUUGAUAUCUCCUUCAAUUGUUUAUAUAAGCCACAAACCCCAGUGGUUUUGGCAUCAAUAGAAAUCCUAUAUUAAUUUUAAAUUACAUCACAGGUAUUGAAUAUAUCUCAAAUAUAAUUUAUACUUAGCACUUCUUCAAAAUUAUGUUAGCUACUUCGACCUGCUGUGAUACCUUAUUUAAUGCAUUAAUAAAUAAUUCUUUUCAUAUUUUGAUAACUAUUUCUAUAUAAUCAUUUUUCCUUGUAAUAUUUUUAUUUUCUGCAUUUUAAAACAAUUCUGGGCUUCAUGGGACUGCCAAAGUGGCCCAUGACACAAAAUCGGAUAAAAAUUUCUAUGCUAGUUUUAGUAACUUCUGUUUCAUGAUGGCAAAUUAAAAGACAGGUUCAAAUGUCAGCAUUAUAUACUACAAUUUUAUUUCUUUUUCAGUCAGACAAUUCAUUAAUCAUCUGAUUUUUUUUUAUAAUACUAUACCUAACAUGGGGAUAAAUGACUGAAAAAACAGGGUUGUAAAAAUAGAAGUAUAGCAUACAUUCCUGUCCUCAAUGAUACUCAGUCUAGUUAGUAUAUAACAUAUGAAUUGCCAUUGUCUAUAUCAUAUCUUAAUUCUUAUACUGUAUUUUUAUAAUGCUUUAAAAAAUGUACUCAAAAUGCUGUCCUCCGUAAGAACUCAUUGAACACCAUCAACAGGGUUGUUAAAUUGGUAAAGCAAGAUCCUACUAGGUUUAUAAAUAAAGAAAAGGCUUUCCCUUAAGUAGUGAGAGAUGAAGCAAGAAAACACUCAGCUCUCCCAAAUUGUAGUUCAGUGGGACUUUCAUUUCACAUCGUUUCCUCAGAAAAAUCCUACGUCAGAAAAUCUUCAGUCUUUUUCAUUGUAUAAUCUAUACAUUUCCAAAAAGUGUAAGAUGGCUUGUUAAGAAUAAAGUGUAGUUUGGUUGUGUAAGACCAACCAGACAGGGGAAAGAUAAGAGGAAUGAUGUUGAGAUUGGGAGAGUAGUUGCUGUCUGUGAUCUUUUAUACGGUUGAUGUGUGAUAGUUGUUUGUUUGUUUGUUUGUUUUAAUUCCAACCUGUUCUUAAAUGCAAAUACAAAAACUAGAGAAAGAGACGGAAUCAAGCUAAGGUUAAACUCAAAGUGACUUCAGUAUCAACUGGUUGGUUGUAUGUAGCCUUUCUGUCAAAGAACUGUGCCCUGGAUUCUUUUUACUCAAAAAGUAUUCCAUAAAACAACCGCCUAUUGGUGCAUUACUUCACAGCCUGUUAUGAAUGAGAAUCUUGAGUCCCACCCCAGACUUAAUGAAUCAGAAUCUGCAUGUUAACAAAAUUCUCAAGUGAUUUGAAUAUACAGUAAAGUUUGAGAACCACAGAUGACUUUCAAUUCACCCAUAAUAACUGAGAAAAGACUGUAAAUUCCUACACCUUGUUCUUCCAUAAUUUAAGGAGUUUCUUGCUGUUGUUUCUACCUUCAUUAAGGUAUAUGAGGCCCAUGCUAAGAAAAAUGCGUUCAAUAACUACUUUGAGUGAAAAAUCUCACUAAAUCAGGCAGUUGUUCCUAAAGAGGAUUUAAACAGAUUUUCAUCAUAGACAGCAUGGUAUCUGAUACAAACCUGCCCCUGUUGGUGCUGUACCAGCUAAACUCAGUGAAUGCAAGUGGCAAAUGUUUAGGGAGAACAAGAAGGCCCAAGUAUUGCAUUUAGGCAAAUCAUAAGUGCAUAGUGUGCCAGUGAAAACAAAUGUUUUUCCUACACUGGCUCUGACACAUUCACACAUGAAUGUAUUUCAUUCAGAAAAAGUAAAGGCUCUAGAAUGGCACAGUCUGGUUUUAUGAGAAACAGAUGUGUCAUGGUUCACCCACUCCCUGACCACCUGUGGUUUGCCCAUGACUCAACUUUCUUGAAUGAGGGGAGUUAACUCUUGGAUUCUGAACAAACUCUAAAUUACAUAUUUAUUUUCUUCCUCCUCAUACUUCUUUUCACCACUCAUUGCCAUGAUAGAACCUUACAAUUCUGAGAAGUUUGAAUUCUCAACACCCCAAAACAUUUAAAGUUGAAUCCUUGCUAAAGGUGAAUCCUUGCUCUGAUAUUUAGAUUGAGAUUCUGUUAAAAGUUCAAAUAGAAUACCAAUUUAUCCAGCCAGUUAGAGUGAUUUUUGGUUUAUAUUUUAAAGCCACCUGGUUAUGAGGUAUCUUUACUUACUGCCUAUUUUGUUGGCCGAGGAUAGGAAUUAUUACCAGUCAGAAAUACGCUUUUGAUGCCAUUGGUUAGUCACUUAAUUUUCAGCUACCUCUGUUUAUUGGAAUAAUGUGGAAAAAUUAAAAAAAUAUAUUUCUCAAACUUUAAUUCAGGUAAUACCUGCUGUUAAAUGUUACUGUGAACUACUUCCUCCAACUGCUCACAAGUAGCCAAAAGGAAGGAUUUGAACUUCAUUACAUUUUAUCUCUCCUGCCAUGUUCUGCCUGGCAGAAGAGGGACAGGGAAAUAGUCCAAUCAUAGGUAGGUGGAUGGAAAAAUACAAGGCGCAAAUAGCCCACAUAGGGAAUAAUCAUACCUUAAACAGUCACUGACAACAUUUAAAAAAAAAUUUUUAUUUCCAUUUAUGUAAUCAACUUAGGGUUGUUUUUGACCUACCACUGAGGCAUUUGGUUUUUCUUUUCAUAGGAUCUUUUUCAUUUAUUUCUUCAGAAGCAUUAUCUAAUUAAAAACAAACAUUUAAAUUAACAUGGCCUGUCAAGGAAGUACAAACCAGUCAUGAGUUAAACUAUAAUUACAAGGACAACAAUGUCAAAAAGAAAAAGCAAAAACCUUUUUAAAAACCUGUAAUUACUUCAUUGUUUAUAAUUUUUAAUUGGAAUGCAAGUAACAGGGAAUUCAAAUUUCAUAAAACCGUGGUCUGUAUAUCUUGUUAUCAAAAUAGAUAACAGCUAUCCAAACAGCACAUGGCAAAAUGUAAUUUUUUUAUGUAAAUGGGGAGACUUAUGAGACAAAGAAGCAAAUAAUCUGGCCACAAUGUGAGUCUUUGGCAAACCUUAGAAGGGAAUUCCCAAGUGCAUUUCCUAAAAGAGUACUUUGUGUGUUCAAAUGUACUAACUCUAUCCAGAGUGAAAGAAUGCCUAGGAAUGAAUAAUCUGCACAAUCUGAUAGAAUUAAGUGUUAAUUAUUUAGGAGUAAAAUUUACUAGAAAUCAAUUUCAGUAUCAUUUUCAGAUUUGGUUUUCAGAAAAGGAAACACCCUGUUUUAAUAGGUUCGGAAAUGCAGGACUACUUGCAGUUUACUCGGGUAAGAUAACCCUUAAUAAAUUAUCAAUGUGCUUUGGGAUUUAUUAAUUUUAUAAACAAUAAAACUAGAUGUUUCUAGAUUUCGGUUACAGACUGAGCUGCAGAAAAUUAAUGAUCUUUUAAAAAGACAGUUGAUUAUUCACAUGACCACUGUAUGAUGCUUUUUAAGUUCACUUGAUUAAAAAGGUGACAGUACUAACAUUUCAAAAUUUAAGUCAUUCUAUAUGAUCAAAUAUGGUUCUAUUUGAUACAUUAAAAUAUCUUAAUUUGAAGUUAAAAAUGCUUUGAAUUAAAUAGAUAUAUAAUAAAAAUGUUGAAUUCAUGGUCAUGCAUACUGAUUUUGUACCUCAUAAGCAAAGCUACAAUGGUACUAACAGGGUGUAAUUUGUUCAAAAUAAAUUUUUAUACCAGAUGAUAGUAACCUUAAAAAGGAUUUUUAUUGCUCAAGCCUUCCACUUCCAUUCCUUUGACAUACUUAAUGAGUUUCAUCAAUUUAUAUCAUUCAAAAAGAUACAUCUUCUGAGUAUGCCAGUUGACCAAAUCUAUUAUUUUGGAUAUUUGCUCAGAUAGAGCUGGUACUGGGAUGAAAAAAAAAUGGCUAAGAUGUAGUUCCUACCGUUAAGAACCCUAGGAUUUGGCUAAAGAGAAAAAUCUAUCCAAAACUAGGUUUAAUACAAGAAGGGUUAUCCAGAGUGCUGGUAGGGAGGGAGACACAUAGGAGAGUAAGAAGUAGCAUUUGAAUUGGGUUUUAGGGGAUAGGCAAUGGUUUUUUAUUGAAAUAUUGAAAGGCAAUUUCAGGAAAAGGGUACAGUGUGAGCCAAGGCAUGGACUCAAGAAAGUACAGGAUUAAUUUAGGUAAUGAAUGAUCUAUGUGAUGUGGACUCAAAAUGGAAAAAAAAAAGUAUAAGAAAAUACGAGAUGAAAACGUAAGUCGAAGCCAGAUUUGAGAAAGCUUAAAUGAUGUACUACGGCAUUGAGAUGAGUCUUUAGAUCAUGAGGGACCAAGAAAAAAACAUAAUUUUUUGUCAUUAGGUAAAAUUCAUGUUCAUUAUUAAAAAGGAGAAGUGUAAAGUAAAUAUACACAUUUAGAAUACAAAAAUCAUCAAAUACGUUGAACCACUUGAAACUGCCAUUUUCAAAAGCCAACAGCAGUCAAAUAUCAUCACUUUAAUAUAGCUCAUCUUAAUAAUUGAUUCUGGAAUCAGAAAUGUGCAUUUUACCAUUGACUUUUUUAUGAAAAUAAAUUCUUAAAAAGCAGCAUAAUUAGGAUUAAUAUAGGCAUCACUCUUAUUUAGUACAAAAAGCAAUGGAUCAAUUCUAUAAUUUUUGACCACCUACUGUGUUCUGAGCAUACUGUAAGGUGCAUUACCUACCUUCAUUCAUUAUUACUCAAAUCACUUUAAUGAUAAAUGAUGGUCAGAAAAUAUUUAUAUAGAUUUUCCCAAAUCAUCUGCAAGUAAGUGAUUUUUAAAGAUAGGAAAGUGAUGCUCAAGAUAUUUAUAUAAAUUUCACCAAGUAGUUAGCAAGUAAAUGGUGGUGAUAGGAUUCAAAUGUAUAUCUUUUGCCUUUCGUUUGUUUGGGGUUUGGAUUUGGUUUUUGCUAUACUACCAUACAUUACUUCAUGUUGGGGGUAAGCUAUCUCCCUAGCAUGACCCAGCAAUCCCCCAGUGAAAAGUCAAACAUUUGUUGAGCACCUGUCUUGAAGGAGACCCCAAAUCAGGUGCUGGGUGUAAGGGCAGACAGCACGAAAGACAUUGUCCUUUUUCUUAUGGAGCUUAUUUGACUUGGGAGACAGGUGCAAAAUGUUAGUUACAAACUAAUUUCUUCACUAAAGUCAUGCUAUGUGCAAGGAGAUAAAGUACAGAUGAGUUGAGGUUGUAUAAGAGGAGGAAGUUAAUCUCCAAAGCAGGAAAAACGACCUCAGACAUUUAAGCUAAUACCUGAAGGUAAGUAGAAGUUAAUGAGUUAAUGGAAAUGAGAAAACUUUAGGCAAAGAAAACAGCCUAGGUACAGAUUUCUGCUUUCUUUAGGUAACAACUGUAUCUCAAGGUAAACAAGCUUAGAAUAAAAAGCAGGGUCCUAAAGAACAUAGUUUCACUCUGGCUCUGCCCCACACAUUGAUAUGGGCAAUCAAUCAUCUUCAAUUAUUUCUGUGAGUCUCCAGGCUGUAUUCAUACAUGUUCACAACCACAGUCCAUUAAACAAUUUGGAUCCUCACACGCUCCUGAAUUGCCUAAAUUCCAAAGUGUGCAAUUUAGGCUAACAAAAGAGAACAGCCAGUCCAUGUAAAAUAGGGGACAGGACUAAGUUAUUUUGAAGUUGUAUUUCUGUCCUAAUAACCUAUCAUAUUGUGUUUCUGAUUUUCUACAAGUAUUAAUACUAUAAAAUUAAUUAUUUGGUUUUAUUAGAAACAAGGCAUAGUGGAUAUGUACAGUAACAAAGGACAGGAAGUGAAGAAUGAAUUGAUCGAGGUUCUUUUAGAUAGACGCUAAAAGAAUACUUCCAAGAGGCAGGAAAUAUUGUAUACCCAUUGUCAAUGUUUGAAUAUUAUUAAUGAAUUAAUAAUUAAAAUAUCAGGCAAGUUUUUACUUGCCAAGAAGGCCUGUGCAGUCAUGUAACAAACACCAUGAUGAAGCUAUAGAAUGCUUCCAUAACCCCCAAAAUUUCUCCAUUUCUCUUCCCUUGGUACUAGUUUCUGACAGUCACUGAUCUGAUUUCUGGCUCUAUAGUUUGGCCUUUUCCAGAAUGUCACAUAACAGGAAUCAUACAGUAUGUAGCUUUUUAUGAUUGGCUUUUUUUCACUUGGCAUAAUGCUUUUAAGAUGAAUCCAUUUUGUUAUGUGUAUCAUUCCCUUAUUUCUUAUAUUUUUGAGUUGGAUCCCAUUUUACAGAUAUACCAUAAAAGGAUAAUUUGUUUAUUCUUUCAUUAGUUGUUGGAUAUUUGGUUUGAUGAUUAUGAAUAAAAUUUCUAUAAACAGCCUCAGAUAGGUCUUUGUGUGGGGACUUUACUUGGAUAAAUAUAUAGGAGAAGGAGUCCUUGAUUGUAUAGUAAGUGUAUAUUUAACUUUAUAAGAAAAUGCCAAAUGUUUUCCAAAGUUGCUGUACCAUUUUACAUUCUCUUCAGUAAUACGUGAGUUUCAGUUCAACAUCUAAACCAACACUUGGUAGUGAUUGUUUAUAAAUUUUAGCCAUUCUAUUUGGCAUCUAAUAGUAUCUUAUAGUUUUAAUCUAAUUUGCAUUUUUCUAAUACUUAAUGAUGGUGAACAUCUUUUCACAUGAUGUUUGCCACUCCUAUCUCAAGUGAUGUACCUUUUAAAAUAUUUUGACCAAUUCUAAAAGAAAAAUGGGUUGUUUGCUUUUCAUUACUGAAUUGUAAGAGCUAUUUAUGUAUUCAGGAUGGAAGUUAUUUUUAAUGAGAUAGGCGUUUUACAUAUAUUUUCUCUAAGUCUAUGACUUGCCUUUUAAUUUUGUUAGUAUGUAGUACUUUUUAAACUUGUGUAGAUUCUUUGAGAUUUUCUACAUAGACAAUCAUGUGGUCUGCAAAUAAAAGAGAGUUUUAUUUAUUCCUUUCUAAUAUGUAUAAUUUUGAUUUCUUUUAUAUACUUUAUUACAUUGGUUAGAACCUUCAUUAUGAUGUUAAAUAGGAAUAAUGAGAGCAUUCUUGCCAUAUUCUUGGUCUUAGGUAAAAACACUCAUUCUUUCACCAUUAAGUGUGAUGUUACUUAUAGGUUAACUUUAGGUGCCUUUUUUCAGGUUGAGGAAGUUCCUUUCUAUUCCAAGUUUGCUGAGGGUUUUUAUCAUUAAUGGAUGCUAAAUUUUGUCAAAUGCUAUUUUUAUAUCUAUUGAGAUGUUGUUUUUUAUUUGUGUAAUAGUUGUUGUUGAUAUGCUGAAUAUUGACCCAAACUUGCAUUUCUGGGAUAAGCUCACUUGGUCAUGAUGUAUCAUCUUUUUUGUGUAUCAUUAGAUUUGAUUUACUAAAGUUUUGUUGUGAUUUGAGAGCAUAUUUUAUAUCAGUGCUUCUCAACUAGGGACAGUUUUGCUCCCCAAACGACAUUGGGAAGUAUCUGGAGACAUAUUUAGUUGCCACAUUUGAGGGAAGAGAGAGGAUUUUCUACUGGCAUCUAGCAGAUAGGGACCAAGGAUGCUGCCAAAUAUCCUAAAUUGCGUAGGAAAGCACCCCACAACAAAGAAUUAUCUGGCCCCAGUGUUGAUAGUGCAAGUUCAAGAACUGUUGCUGUAUGGGAUCUCAAAAAUUUUAAAUUUGUUCAGAUUUAUUAUUUUAUGACCCAGAAUAUGACUAUCUUGGUGAAUGUUCAAUGUACACAUGAAAACAAUGUUUAUCCUUUUAAUAUAGGGAAGAAUGUAUAAAUGUCAGUUAGGUCAAGUUGGUUGACAGUGUUGUUCAAAUUUUGUAUAUCAUUACUGAAUUUUAUACUUACUUAUUCUAUAGAUUACGGGAAGAAAAGUGUUGAAAUUUCCAACUAUAAUUGUAAGUUUGUCACUUUUUUUUAGUUCUAUCAGUUUUUUACUGUUUUUUUUUACAUUUUAUUUUAUUCAUGUCUAUUAGUUUUUUGCUUCUUGUAUUAUGAAGUUCUGUUGUUAAAUAUAUUCAGGUUUUUACGUAUUAUUAAAGAAUUGACCUCUUUAUUAUUAUGUAAUGUCUCUCUAUUCCUGGUAAUAUUUCUUGUUCUGAAGUCUACUUUUUCUGAUAGUAAUACAGUCACUCCAGCUUUCUUUUGAUUAGCAUUUGUGUGGUAUAUUUUUUCAUCCUUUAAUUUUUAACCUAUGCCUUUAUAUUUAAAGUGUGUUUAUUUAUAACACAUACAACACAUAUAAAGUGCAUUUAUUUAUAGAGUUGGGACUUUCUUUAAUUUAACUUGACAAUUUCUGUCUAUUGAUAUUUUAGAGCAUUUACAUUUAAUGUGAUUAUCAAUAUGGCAAACUUAAGUUUACCAUAUUGCUAGUUGUUUACUGUUGAUUUAAUAUGUUCUUUGUUCCUUUUCCUUCUUUUCCUACCUGUGGAUUAACUAAAUAUUUUUAUGAUUCCAUUUUUAUCUACAUUACUGAUCUAUAAGUUGUUCCUCUUUUCAAAUAUUUUUAGUAGUUGUUCUGGUAUUUACAGUAAAUAUCUUUAAGCUAUCACAGUCUAUCUUCAAGUAAUUUAUAUCAUUUCACCUGUAGUAUCAGGACCUCACAGCACAUAUUCCAUUUACUCCUUUCCAUUCUUUGUGUUAUCAUACAUUUUACUUAUAAGCCUCACAAUACAUUGUUACUAUGCUUGAUUUAGACAGUCAAUUAUCUUUAAAAGUGAUUAAAAAUAAUUUUUAAAAAUAUCCUUUAUAUGUACCUUUAUUUCUAUCAUUUUCAGUGCUAUUUACUUCUUUACGUAGCCCACAAUUUUCAUCUGGUACCAUAUGCAUUUGUCUUAAGGGCUUCCUGUAACUUUUCUUAUAGCAUAGGUCUGCUGGCUUCAUGCCUGUCCUCCAGCAGCAGGCAGUCACCUCCUGCGUGCCUCUGCCACAGCAGGGACCUCUCUCUCGUUUCCUGCGCCCAGUCUUUCUCAGAAGCACCUCAUGUAGGCCUGUGGAAAAGUUUAUAAAUAAGUGUGGGCUUCCCUGUAUGUGGAGUUCCUAGGUAUUUCAAACUAAUAAUAGUUCAUACUUGUGUUUUAGAAAUUUGUGAAAAUUUUAGCUAAUUUUUUCCUACUCACAUUUGUAGGGAGGCCACCUAUUUUUCCCAUGCUUUGCCAAAGAUUAAAUACUUUGUAUGUCCCUCUUGAGGGGCAUAUCACUCUUUGAACUUCAGUAUACUUGGCUGCCUUGAACCUCAGCUCUCUAAUGGGCUCAAGGAAAGUAGUAAUUUUGUACAGCUUCUGGCUUUUGGUCAUUGUUAGCAGGAGCAAUGUUCUCUUGUAUCUCUCUACAACAUUUACCAAAGUGGAACUCCUCUUUUCAGCAUCUUAAACAAAUUUUGGAUUUGAAAUGGCUCAAAGCAUUUGGGAACUGUAUUUUACAUAUAUUUUAAAAUGAAGCUUCUAUAGUUCUGUGGUAUCUUAUAUGAUCUUAAUUGUUAAUUACUUGGAAGGAUAUGUGUCAUCUCUUAGUAACUUGUAGGGUUUUUGUUUUUAGAGAUUAUUUGUCAUAACCCCAAAGGGUCUAUUUCUACAUAAGUAUUGAAAUCAUUUUUCAAAAAGCAGCAAUAGCAAAAGCUGCUAUAAAUUUCAUGGCUAAAGGUUGGGACAUAUUUGGGGGUGAUGGUAUCUGCUAAUAUUAACCUUGUGAUCAGCCUAAAUUCCUAUUUAUUACAUUUUUACUUGUUUUUAUUCCUAUAAAUAUUCUAUAUAAGAUUAAUAGUCAACUUAUGGAACAUUUGUCACUGGAACAUAUUUGCCAUUCCCUGUUUUUAUAUAUGCAAAUGAAAUACACAUACUUGAUCAAAGUAAAUGCAUUAAAAACAAUCAUUAUCUUUAAUUCCUUUGAAUCUGUACUACAUACAAAGACAUAUUUUUAGGAUUCUCUACAAAUUCUUAAAUAUAAUUAAAACAGAAUUAAGGUGAUCAUCUACAUAUUGAAAGCUCCCUUCCAAAUGAAUGAAAUGUAAUAUAACAUUUGAAAUAUAAAAGGAAAUGUUGAUGCCCAUGAAAUAAUUUCACCUUCAUUUAUCUAGGAUCAAAUAUUGUGAAGAAAUUUAACAUUAUCUAUGGAUUAAUAUAAAGAGAAAUGUGAUGGGCUGUAAUUGAGCAUUCAAAUUAAAUUUUUCAUAUAAUGUGCUCAUAUGUUAGACCUUUAAAAAAUGUGAAUCAGAUCUAAUCAUAGCAGCAGUGAGUGAUAAUGCAGUUUGCCAGCUAAGGCAAGGCACCCUAGGAAAAUGCUAUUCAUAUAACAUUGCCUAAUCAGUGUAUAUCUAAGGCAUCUUUAAAGGAAAAUAUAUACAGAUGCUCCUCCAUUUAUGAUGGGGUUUUGUCCAGAUAAAGUCAUUGUAAGUUGAAAAUAUCAUUAAUCAAAAAUGAAUUUAAAACACUUAACCUCCCAAACAUCGUAGCUUAGCCUAGCCUACCUUAAAAGUGCUCAGACUCUUAACGUGAACCUACAGUUGGGCAAAAUUAUCUAACACAAAGCCUAUUUUACAAAAAAAAAUGUUAAAUAUCUCAUGGAAUUUAUUGAAUGCUGUACUGAAAGUGAAAAGCAGAAUGGCCGUAUGGGUACUUGAAGUAUGGUUUCUACUGUGUGCUUAUUAUUUUCAUGGUGUCUUAAAGUCAAAAAAUCAUAGUCUAACCCUGGUUAAGUCAGGGACCAUCUGUAUGUCCUUCAUAUACAAGAUUUUAUUAUUUUACUUUUCAGAAUUUCUCACUGUGAUGAAAUUAAUGUAGUUGGGAAAAUAAUACUGGAUUUAAAUUCAUUUCUAAGAACAGAAGAAAAUUAAAGAUAUUAAUUAUGAAGUUACAAAACAUAUCAAUGAUCUCGUUUUGGAAUUUGAGUUUAGUAUUUGAGUCAGAGUGAUGUGAGAGAUAUUUAUUUGCCAAGCAUCAAGCAGAGACUUCAGUGGCUGCAGUAGCAUAGUAUCUGCUCCCAAGUGGUUUCCAGUCUGGUAAAGGGAUAUAGAGAGCCUCAGUCUAAGUGCUGCAGGAGGCAUGGACAGGAUUCAGAAUGCCCAGAGGACCCCCAGGCAGCCAGGGAAGGGGAACACUGAAGACGGAGAUCAUUGGAGGAGAAGAUAAGAAAGAAUCCCUUCUUCUCACCCACAUGACACAUAUCAUAAGAUCAUAUGGUCUCAAAGUCAUAGCUCUUGUUAUUUUCCUUAAGAACAUGGAGUUUCACAUGCAAUUAACUUAAAUCUUCCCAGCCCUUCAUUCUCCCUUCAAUAAUUACCUUUCUAUUUUGCUGUUCAUCUAAUACGCUUUAACACUAUGCUAUGUUACAACUAUUAUUUCUAUUCUGUUUAUUUUCAGGCUUUUAAGAAAUUUUUAUUAGAUGAUUUUAGUAAUUCAUGUGAAAAAGCAUAAAUUUACCAAUCUGUAGCAGCAGAUAAUCCAAGGGAGGGUUCAUGCUAGAACUGGGGGACCAGGAGUAAAUAUUCUCCUAAUUAAGAGCUUAGGUCAAACUAGAAUCCAAGAGAGUAGAGAGGUAAAGCCUGUGCUAAGAGCCAGAAUAUAGCAAGAAGCCUUUGAUACUCUCAGCUGCCAACUAGGAAAUGGGUGAGAACAGGCACACAAAUGAGCAAAGGGGUAGAAAUGAGAUUUACAGCAAUUUUAAUAUAUUUAUUCAGUGCCUAUAAUCAUCUUUGAAUACACUCAUUUAUUUAGAUUGUGCAUUCUGCGUUGCGUAUUUGUUGAUUAACAUUUUCAUUAGUUUACCAUUGUAGAAACAAAAAUAGUAAGUUAUGUGUCUGUAAGAAGGAGACAUGUCCUGCUAGGCCCUGUCCAGAGGUCUUACUAACUUGGCUGACUUAAAUAUAUGAUUAAAGGAAUAAAGCCAUGUUAGGAAGAAGUGGUUAUUAACAUCACCCAGAAUGGCCAGAAAUUUCAGCAUAAAUAUUUAUGAGAGAGUCCAUUGAAACUACACAUUUAGUAAGGGGAAACAAGAUCUUUGGCUUUUGAGAACUUUCUACUGGACAAAAAACCUUAAAGUCAAAAGCUAGUCAAAGGUGCCACGUGAUACUUCUUGUUUCAGAAGAAGCUGGCUGUCUAUCACAGAACAACCACUGCACAGCAUCCAGAGUUGGCAUUAAAUCCAAAAGCUUUGGAGAUGAAUGACUUUGUUAAGAUUCCUCUCUGGGAAUGUGAAGAGAUGGGAUCUAAACUCAAAGACUCUGAUCCAUAAAUUUUUGGAGCUGUAAGUCUGAGGUCAAAAGACAUGAAUCUUAGGAAACAAAUUUCCUUUUCUCCAGGGCUUCCUGUCUCUUUCCUCGUCCAGUUAUAAGGGAAAAAAAAUAUUACAGUAGAAGAAAAAAUGGUCAGUGCAAGCUGAUCUCAGCUAAGGUUAAAGGAGGGCCAUACAAUAAUGGUCUGCCUCUUUCCAUUUUUAUUUAGCUUCCCAAUAGAAUAAUGAUCAUGCUGUGGAAUAUUUUGGAAUAAUUAUUUCUGGCAGAGGCAUCACUCAGGUUUUGCCUGUAUGUAAAUGGAGGACUGUUUCCUUGUGGGUAGAUGACCAUGCCUCCCAAUUUACCUGGCAGUGUCUCAGGUUGUGCUCCUUUCUUCAAAAAAAAAAACCAUGAUUUGGAUGAAAAUAUAAAUGGCCACCCUGUUAAUGAGCCACUCUUUUAGAGAUGGCUCCCUCCCAGAAGGAAAGCUACCUAAAAUACCUUCGGAUGGUAUUAAAUAUUAAUGAAAAGUAAACUUUAAAUAUUUUCUAGUCACAUUAAAAUAACUAAAGUAAAAGAAGUGCAAAUAUCAGUAAAGGGGUAAUGCUUCACAUACACAUGAGUGCACACACACACACAUUCACACACACGCUCUGGCCUAUUUUUCAAAUGGAAGUGCCUGUGAGGCUUAAAAGUAUGAUAAGAAGAAAAGGGAAGAAAAUAGAUUAGAUGUGCAAAUGAAACAACCCUUACUAAAAGGGUGAAGGGACAAGGAGAAGUGCAGCCAAUCCUGAGCAGAAUGUACUGAAACACUCAGCAUUUCUUCCCCAGGAUGGCACGCUCCUCUGAAGAAAUAAUUUCAUACGAAGGAGAAGGGUCCCCUUUCCAGAUGACAGGCCUUCUCUUCAAAGCAAGGAGCAGCUUUGCUUUUUGAUGUGACUGUUGUAGUACAGAAAGAGAAAUUGAUGGUACAAAUGGGAGAUAGAGGAUAAUUACUGAAGUCUCUGAGAGAGAAUGAGGUCCACAUGGAAAAUGGAUGAACCUUAGAUAGAGAUGGGGCCCUUCACUCAACGUAAUUGGAGGAAAGUGGAAGACUGAGUAGGUAAAAAUAAGUGGCCCCAGUUAUCAUAUCACAAUCUACUUCAUGAGAAUUAAUGAGCUUCUUUAUAGUUACCUUAUUUUUAAAACCACUGUGUGUGUGUGUGUGCACGCGCGUGCAUUAAUGUAUUAAAUUUAUUUUCAUUGUAAAACCCAAUUUUUGUUUCCCUUUCAUCAUGUCCCAAUCUGGGCUCAUCCAACAUGGUUUACAUUUAAAAAUAUUUCACGGCCCACUUCACAAUUGGAGCUAUCUGUAAGGCUUUAGCCAACAAUUCUUGCAAUGGAGGAGAGGGAAGCAUUUCAUCAUGUGGAAAAAUAGCCACUCUGCAAAUAGUGAGUCUCCCAAUCUUUGGCCCUAGCCCGGAAGUUCCCAAGUACUCUCCUUUCCUCAAAUACUUUGCUUUUCCUAUUUCCACGUAUGCAAUGAUCAGAAAAGGAUAAGCCUCCAGAAGAGAACAGAGUUAAAUAAUUUUGACUUUAAAACAGAAAUAUCAUGCCAUGCCAAUACAUGAAUAGAGAACAAAUGCAUAUAUAUUGUUUGGUUCAUCUUUUCAAAAGGAAUUUUGAAUUUUUGAAAGUAAUGUGGGAAUCAAAUCAGUGAUAUAAUGUUUAAUGCUAUAUGCAUAAUAAAAAUACAUACUUUUAAGGUAACAUCUAUGUUUGGAUUGUUUGAUAGAAUAAAGUAUCAAAAUAAAUGUAAGCAUGACCAAAUACAAAAUCAUAGACACAUCAUAAAAUACGAGGACUAUCUGUAUUUUUCAAUCCUUAGAAUCAUCUGGUGGAGUUUCUAAAAUAAAAUAUCAAUGUCUGAGCUCCACCCUAGACCAAUUAAAUCAGAAUAUCUGGAGGGGUACCUGAGCAGAGAUUUUUUUUUUGUUUUUAAAGCUCUGUAGCUGAUUCCAUGUGCAGCCAGGGUUGAGAAACUUUGGGCUGAUUAUUGACAAUUUCCUGUAGAAAUGCAUAGAACUACCUCAUAAGCUUGAGUUCUGGACAUUGCAGACUGCCUGCUACUGACAUACGGAAGGAAAAAAAAAAAACACUAAAAUGCAAUUCUACACCUUCUGAAACUUCUUAUUUCAUAGCUUUGUCUGAAAACAAAGCUUUGUAUAAAGGACAAGAAGUUAAAAUGUUGGGCUUUUCUCUUGGUUUGUUUCAAGAUGGGGAAGUAGAAUAAAAAGUUCAUCAGGCUUUGGAGAUGCAAAGAACUCAACAGCUGUUAAUUUGAUUGAAGUGGGAAGUCAGCCAGAAUAAGAACUAUUUUUAGGCAGCGUGUUGACAGGUGUUUUACCUUCUCUCACACCCUCCUGGACAGGGCUUGCCUAGAGUAGAUCUGAGUUUUAAAACUUUCAAUAAAAGAAACAGAAGCCUGUAAAAACAGAGUCCACAGCAAGUAAGCCCUCUCUACACCAUCUCAAGCAACAGGUUGAGAAAGCUUAAAUGGGAGAUAUGGUUUUAAAAUGGAUUUUAAUGGCUCGUUUGACUGAAAUUUAUUUUAGGGAGAAAUGGAUUCUAGAAAAUAUUGGCAGUUAUAUCAGGUGAAAUUAUUUUGUUGUCAAUAAUCCAAAAAUGAGAGCAAUGGGAAGAGAGGAAAGAGACAAAGGCCAAGUAGGUCUAGCUCUUGAGAUGAUGGACAUGAUACCUCAGUAAGCAUUGGGAAACAUCUCACAUAUUCUGCUUUUGUGUUAAAGAUGAUAAAGCAUUGGUAGAUGAUUGUGAGAUGUUUCAGUGAUGGCUUGACAAGUAAAUUUAUUUCAGGGGUUUGACAAGAAUAAAAUGUAAUGGAACAAAAUAUUAUAAUCUUUGAAACAUACAAAAUACAACGACGGUAAAUAUUAUAAUCUGCAGAACAAUCAGUUUUGUUUUUAAAAACAGAGUCUGUAAGAUGACCUGAAUCACACAUUUAUAAAUCAAAAAUAUUUAGUAUGAAAUCAUUAAUUAUUUCAAGGAGAAAGGAAACGUUAUUCGUAUAUGUGUUCCGAUUUUAUUUUCCAUACUUUUAGAGUGCUGUAUUGCCUAUGGACUUUAAAUAUUUAAAUUCCUAGUCUGUUAUUAAUACUAAUUUAGUAUUUGCAUGUGAAUAUCAUUUUAGUUUUAUCAUUUUCAGUUGUAGCUGAAAAGCUAAAACUACUUAAGGAUUCCAUUGUGUAUACAAUCAUUAGUAAUAUUAGCCCCUAAAAGUUUUAUCAAAGUAAAUAUACCACUACAGAAAAGAUUCUUUCAUUUAUUUAUUCAUCCACAAACUUUUACUGCUCACUAAUGUAUGAAGCUCUAUAUUGGCUUUCACAUUUAGAGAGAAAUAUGAAAUUCUCUCAGCCCUCCAGGGACCCUCAAUCUAGAAGGGGGAAGGGAGCGGGGAAUUAUAACCAAAGAAUGCCAAUAAAUUUGGUGCACUGAAAGAAGUUGUUGCACAUAUAGUGAAGGAGCAGAUAAAGGAGUGGGCAGCCUUCUGGAGGGUGAGUGGGGAUGAAAGUGAGAGAAACAGGUUUGCUGCGUGCAUGCAGAUUUAACUGUGGCCAGGCAGAGGGGAAUGGGUGGGUGUGGGGCAGACAGUGACAACAGCAGUUCUCAAAAAGUAAGUAUGCAUUUAAGGCUCAGACAAGAUGGAAGGGUAUCCAUUUAUUCCAACUUAUGAAAAUAACAGUAAGUGCUGUACCCAUUAACUCGUCAUUUAGAAUUAGGUGUAUCUCCUAAUGCUGUCCCUCCCCCCUCCCCCCACCCCACAACAGUCACCGGAGUAUGAUGUUCCCCUUCCUGUGUCCAUGUGUUCUCAUUGUUCAAUUCCCACCUAUGAGUGAGAACAUGUGGUGUUUGGUUUUUUUGUCCUUGCGAUAGUUUACUGAGAAUGAUGGUUUCCAAUUUCAUCCAUGUCCCUACAAAGGACAUGAACUCAUCAUUUUUUAUGGCUGCAUAGAUACAUAUGUAACAAACCUGCACAUUGUGCACAUGUACCCUAAACCUUAAAGUAUAAUAAUAAAAAAAAUUAAAAAAAUAAAUAAAAUAAAAAGAAAAUAACAGUAAGUAUAUCUUGACUUAAAUUAAACUUAAUUUUUUGAAUGAAGGACUUGAAGAAUGGGAGGAUGUUCAACCUAUUAGGCAACUAGAGUAUUUUUCAGCAAUUUAAAAGCCAAUAGUGUACAAGGAUUCCCUUUUCUCCACACCAACACUUGUUAUUUCUUGUCUUUUUGAUAAUAGCCAUUCCAGCAGAUGUGAAGUUAUAGUGGUUUUGCUUUGCAUUUCCCUGCUGAUUAGUGAUGUAGAGCACCUUUUCAUAUUUAGGUGCUCUUCCCACACACACAAUAAAGGGUAACUAUGUGAGAUGAUGCAUAUGUUAAGACAUUUGAAUAUAGUAACCAUUUCAAUGUGUGUGUGUGUGUGUGUGUGUGUAUAAACAUCAUGUUCUAUACCUUAAAUAUAUGCAAUAAAAAUGGCUUCUGAUGGUAAUGUUAUUUGUAAGUAGGAACUUUUUUUCAGGCCUCAUUAAAACAAGACUUCUGUGAUUUCGAUAAGAGAUUUAUGUAGUAGCUCCUGUGAGUUGAAAAGCUAGGGAGAUAGGUACAAGGAACUAGAGGAUGGGAUCUAUGGUUGGGGUAUUUACGUAUAGGGAACAAGGACCUCGUGAAGCCCUAGACUAUUAUAUGCAAAAAGCAUGCUUUUGUUUAUUUCUCUGGGGAGAUAGUCUGUAGUUUUCAGUAAAUUCUAACAUGAUUCAUAACCCUAAAAAGUUGAUUUUUUCCUUAAGAACUUUAUAUAUUUUAUGAUACCGACUUUUCACUGAGUAUCUUUAUUAUUUUGAGUUUGUGAAAAAUAUUGCACUAUGAAAUUUAGCCCUAAAUUGACAAAUUCUCUAUCUUGACUUACAUUUUCUCUAGUGCACUUACAAUUUUAAGGAUAUUAUAUAUCUUUUAAAAUACUUACACAGAGAAUACAUCAAUGCAAAAGAUCACAUACGAAAUUUCAAUGUAGACAUGAACUUAUAAUCAACCAUUGCAAUAGCCUCUAAUAGCCCAUUUUAUGACAGAGUGCCAUGAGGAAACUCUUAAAGCUAACUGUUGAAAAGAAUGAUAAUGAACAAAUUUUAGAGAGUGGACAGCAGGUUAUAAUAUUUAUAUAUAACUCAUUAUAAAUUGUCAAGUGGCUUUAUACACUAAGAAGAGAAAUUUAUUUUUUAUUCUGGUAAAAUAAAUAGCGUCAGAGAAGUGAAAAUAAAAACAGGUAUUUUGACAAUAUUAACACGUGUUAACCUUGUGAAAUGGCCAUCCUUUACCAGCCUCCAUCUGGGGUUGUUCUAAUGAGAUAAUGUAGGGAAAGUGCUAUGCAUCUAACAUGUCAACCAAAGCUAACUCAAAAUCCACUAAAUCCCACAAGAUGUAUUGAAGGGCUGUUCAGCAUUCCUACUUGCUCAACCUGUCAAUUGUUGCUUGUUGGAUAAGAAAACAACAUUACUUUUAAAACAUGUCACUGAACUGCAAUGUUCAGAAAAAAUAACAGCACCACCCUUUCUCACUUGCAAACAUUGAAAAAUGUUGAACUACAGCUUUUUCCUAAGAACUCUGAAGCUACCAAAGAGCUUCUAUUGAAGGGAUAAUGUCUGCACACCUACCACACCUGAAUUGCAGUAGUUCUUUAUAGAUCUCUAACAGGAAAUUUUAAAAUUAAACUAUAUUGUUAAGGACAUCUUUUGUUUCCAUGUCACGGAUAAUCUAGAUUUUAGCUUAUCAGUGUUGCCCUUUAUAAAACACUAUAUUGAAUAUAUCAAUAAACAAAAGGAUCUGGAACUAGAAAUACCAUUGGACCCAGCAAUCCCAUUACUGGGUCAAAUUACUGGGUAUAUACCCAAAGGAUUAUAAAUCAUUCUACUAUAAAGACAGAUGCACACAUAUGUUUAUUGCAGCACUAUUUACAAUAGCAAAGACAUGGAACCAACCCAAAUGCCCAUCAGCAAUAGACUGGAUAAAGAAAAUGUGGCACAUAUACACCAUGGAAUACUAUGCAGCCAUUAAAAAGGAUGAGUUCAUGCCCUGUGCAAGGACAUGGAUGAAGCAGGAAACUAUCAUUCUCAACAAACUUGUUCUCACUCAUAAAUGGGAGUUGAGCAAUGAGAACACAUGGACACAGGGAGGGGAACAUCACACACCAGGGCCUGUCAGGGAGUGGGAAGCUAGGGGAGGGAUAGCAUUAGGAGAAAUACCUAAUGCAGAUGAUGGGUUGAUGGAUGCAGCAAACCACCAUGGCAUGUGUAUACCUGUGUAAGAAACUUACAUGUUCUGCACAUGUAUCCCAGAACUUAAAGUACAAUUUAAAAAAUAAAUAAACAAAGGUAAUAUUAUAUAGAUACUAUUCACUGGUCUAAAUGUUUUUAAAAGUCAAAUUUAUAUUUAGUUUGAAGCAUUCUUUUCAUACCUGAAAAAAUAUUUUUUAAUGGAUAUAUUUUUUUGACUUCCCUAACAAUUAAAAUAUUUGGCAAAAUCAAUAUCAAACUUUCUAAAAUGUGUAUGGAAAAGUAAAGGACAGCUAAUGUCUUCAGAUGGAUUUAUAUUACAAAAUAUAAGACCUAUUAUAGAACCGUAGCAUUUAAGACAGUGUAGUAUUCGUGAGAGGUUAGAUAGCAAUAAAUCAAUGGAACAGAAUAGAGAGUCCAGAAGCAGACCCAUGCUUACUGGUCAUCUUAUUUAUGACAAAGAUGACACUGUGGUGCAGUGGGAAAAUAUUUUUUUCCCCAGCAAGAACUGCAAGGUCAAUUGGAUAGCCUUGUGGAAAAAAAAAUGAAUCUUGACUCUUUCAUCACAAUAUACACAAAAAUCAAUUCUCGAUGAAUUGCAAAUCUAGGUGUAAAGGUUAAAAACAAAAUCUUCUAAAAUAGGGGUUGCAAACUUUUCUUGAAGUGCCCGAUGUUAAAUAUUUCAGGCUUUGCAUAUCCUACAGUCUCUGUUGCAAUUAUUCAACUCUCUUCCGUGGUAGCACAAAAUAAGUCAUAAACAAUAUAUGAGCAGAUGAGCCUGUCUGAGCUCCAGUAAAACUUUAUUUAUAAAAACAGGUGACAGGCUGGAUUUGGAUUGCAGGCUAUAGUUUUCCAAUCCCUUUUCUAGAACAUAUUUUUGAAGCUCAAGUAAGCAAAGAUUUCUUAAACUAAAACAAAGGGUAGUAACCAAAAAAUAAAAUGUGCUAUAUUAGAUUACAUUAACAUUUUAAAAUGUGUUUAUCAAAAGACACUGUUAAGAUUAUGAAAAGGCAAUCCACACAGUGAAAGAAGAUAUUCAUAAUAUAUAUAUUCAACAAAGAAUUUAUAUCCAGUAUAUAAACACACACACACACACACACACACACACACACACACACUCUACAGAUUAAUAAGAACAAAGACAAUCCAACAGCAAAAAAGAACAAGAAAUUAUGAAAGUUUCACAAAAGAUAAUAUCAAAUGGUCAAUAAACAUGAAAAGGUUCUCGGCUUAAUUAGUUAUCAGUAAAAUAAAUAAAAUGUCAAUGACAUAUUUCUAUGUAUCCACAGAUGAAAAAGAUUGGCAAUUCCAAAUGUUGUCAAGGAUGCAGAACAAAUGGGACUUGUACUCUGCUGGUGACUGUGUCAAUGGGUACAACUCCUUUGGAAAACUGCAUUAUCUACUUGAGGUGAUCAUAGGUGUCCUAUGAUCUAACAAUUUCAUUCUUUGGUAGCAACACAAAUGUGUCCAUAUGUUCAUGAAAAGACAUAUACCUGAAUGUCCAUAGUGACACUAUCCAUAUUGUCACAACCUGGGAACGAUCCAACGCACAGCAACAGGAGGAAACAUAAAUACACGUGUUAUAUUCACACUAGGAAUAGCAUACAGCAGUGGGAAUGACCUACAACUAUACAUAUGGAAAAACACUGUGAUAUAUUUACAUAAUAUGCAUUCAUACCACACAGCAAUAAGAAUAAUCAACAACAUGGAUGAAUGUCACCUCACCUCCACCUCCCCCAAAAAAUAUUGAGUGAAAGAAGCCAGAAGCAAAUGAACACACUUUGUCCCUUUCCCUGUGUUAUGUUUAUCUUGUUCUCCUUUUAUUUCUAUUUAAUGUAAAUUUGGUGUUUCAAAAAUAACCCACAAUUCAUAAGCCUAUACUGAUACAAAUAAGUGAUUGAAUAAAUUGAUCAAUGAGGGAGAAGAGACACAUUUGCCAUGCAGAAGAACUCCAAAUUUAUGUAGAUAACCCCCAUGGAGCUGGAACAUACCUCUGCCUUUUAAGGGCAGGCUGCACAUAGCGACUUCCACAAUAUGGCCAGGAGGGGAGAAAAAUAACUUCACAGUGGAGAAGGCUGGCAAACGUUACCUCAGCCAGGUGAUUGCGGUCGACAUCAUCACUCAUAAGUCAUGUUGACGAUAUGCAGCCUUGGCAUGAUGUGAUGAGAAUGGCACUUUACAUCUGUGGUCUUCCUCCCCAAAACCCAUAACCCCAGUCCCAUCAUGAUAACAUCAGACAUGCCCACAUUGAGGGACAUUCCACAAAAUAGCUCAUCUGUACUCCUCAAAACUGUCAAGGUCAUCCAAAACAAGGAAAGCCUGAGAACUUGUCAGAGCCAAGAAUAUCCUAGGAGACACGAAAUCUAAAUGUAGUGCAGUAUCCUGGAUGGGAUCCUAGAACAGAAAAAAUGAUAUGAGGUAAAAACUAAGGAAACCUGAAUAAAGUAUGGACUUUAAUAAUGUACCAAUAUUGCUUCAUUAAUUAUGACACAGGUACCCUACUAAUGUAAUAUGUUAGCAAUAGGGAAAACUUGGUACAGGAUGUACUAGAACUUUCUGUACUAUCUUUGCAAGUUUUCUGUAAAUCUAAAAUUAUUCCAAAAUUAAAAGUAUAUUUAAAAUAAUAAACAAUUCAUAUAGUAGGCACUGUGUUACACUGCAACUGGGAAGCGUGCUCUCCAAUGUCAAGUUAUUAACAAUAACAGAAUAUAUAGGUAGAAAACAAGGAAUAGUUGCAUAACCCAAUAGCCAUUUAUAAUGUAGUAAUUAUUCUUUGUUUUUUCUACAAAUUUAAAUAGAUUUCUGGUCAUUAAACUUUAUGAAUGUGAAUUACUUCUGUUUACUCCAACACAUUAAGGUAGGAGCUUUAUGAACAAUUACUUAGAGAUAUUUUAAGUUCAACUUUUUAUAUAUCAAACUUCAUGCAGAAGAGAUGAAUGAUGAAAUAGGGAAUUUUUAUGUUAGUAAUUAUGGACUAUUAAAAAUUAACUUUCACUCCAUUACACUCUUUCAACAAAUAUAAUAGAAGCAUCAUAGAAUGUUGGAACUGAAAGGGACAUUUAAGAGAUUAGUUCAGCUCCUUAACUUCACAUGAAAUAACCGUGUGCCAGAGAAUUUGAGACUUGCCCAAGGUCAUAAUAAAUUUGUGGGCGAGCUGGAAUUCACUUAUUCAGUUGAGUGAGCAUUUACAGAGUAUUUAUUAUGUUUCAAGCACUGUGAUAGGUGCAAGAGAUAUAAAAAUUAGUGAGAACUUAUCCUUCAGGUGGAGGAGGCAGGGACAGGGAGAGGCAGAAAAAUAAAUAGAUGAAUACAGUAUAAUGUGGAAACAAGCCAGCAGACAUGAGGACAGGGUGCCAUGAAAUGAAGGAACAGGUUCAUUUGAUACAACUCAGGCGUCACCUGAGCCUUUGGAAGAUGGGUGGGAUUUACACUGGUGAGGAGGCCAGGAACAGACAUUCCAAGCAAAGCAGAUCACAUGAGCCAGAGGUAAAAGGGGGAAAGGGAAAUAAUGUGUUGUGAAGAGCUCCAUCCAGCUUCUUCCAGGAACUGCAGAAUAGUGUAAGCAGGGAGCUGGGAUGGAUGAAACCAAAAAUGCUAGAUCCUGGAGAGGAUUUUGUACCAUUUAACGAGCUAAGUCUUUAUCAUGUAAGAAAUAGAAAGUUAUUGUAAGGUUUUGAAUUUUAGUUUGGCCACUCAGAUGGCUUAGUGGAAGUUAGAUUCGAGAAGGACAAGACAUUACUGGAAACCCUAUCAAAGAGGUUACUAUAGCACUCAAAGGACGGAUGGUAAACAGUUGGUUUAGAAAAGUGGUGAUAAAUAUGCAGCAGGGGAGGUGGAGUCAAUAAAUAUUUAAGAAAAAUGAUUUGCGAUUAGUUGGAUGGGGGUGGGGUAAGUGGGGUGGGUGGAUGAAGGUGUUGGCCGAGGAGUCUUGAGCUAGACUCCUAGUCUACACCACAGAUCUUUGGAACUUCAGAUCACAAGAAGCACACAUUAGCCCCGAGCUACGUUUACACAUUUUUCCACCUCCACCCUAGGAAGCAGCUCUGAAUAUCAGCAAGCGAAACAGUUUUUGAUAAGCAUUUAAACAACAACAACAAAACUCAUAUCCUUUUGGUCUUAUUCUAGGUCAAAAGGUACCUUCUUGUCCUACACACAUAUAAUCAAGAGAAACCACAGAGGUGAUUCUUUGAAGAGCCAAGAGAAUUUGCUUCCAAGGCUUUUGUCUUUACUCCUAGGCUACAGAACCUGCCCUAAAUUUCAGGUAUACCCCAUAGAGGCCAUCACCUUGAAUCUCUGCCCCGAUACACCCUCCAUUAGGCUUUGACUGUGGGUGAUUGUGCUGCCUAUAAAAGAGAAUGUAUGAAGAGGAUCAAGAGAAAAUAUAAUGAGUUCACCUUUAAAAAAGCUAAACUUCAAAUGCCUGUAGAAUAUUCAGUUAGAGAAAAUCAAUUGGCAGUAGGAUAAUCAACUCUGAAACUCAAGGAAGGCAUACAAUUUGAAAAUCAAAGGUCAUGGUAGGAGAAAAACAUGAAAGUGGAUGCCAUUUUUCAAGGAGAGUCUCUAGCAUAAGUGGAAAAGUGGAAAGAAUGUCAGGCCAAAGAUGAAGGUCACAGGAUCACCAGCACUUGAAGUACAGCUCUCCAGUAGAAAAUUCAAUGAAGAAUUAAUAAGUUUUAGAAAUCUAUUGCAUAAUAUGAUGACUACAGUAACAUAAGCAUGUACUGUAUACAGGCCAGGUACAGUGGCUCACGCCUCUAAUCCCAGUACUUUGGGAAGUGGAGACGGGCAGAUCACUUGAGCUCAGGAGUUUGAGACCUGCUUGGGUAACAUGACAAAACCCCAUCUCUACCAAAAAAUACAAAAAUUAGCCGGGCAUGGUGGCACUUACCUGUGGUUCCAGCUACUCAGGAAGCUGAGGUUGGGGGGGUCGCUUGGCCUCCAGAGGAGGAGACUGCAAUGAGCAGAGAUCACGCCACUGCACUCCAGCCUGGGAGACAGAGCAAGACCCUGUCACAGAAGAAAAAAAAUAUAUAUAUACUGUAUACUUGAAAACUGCUAAAAGAAUAGAUUUUAAAUAUUCCCACCACAAAAAAAAGAUAACUAUGUGAGGUGAUAGAUAUGUUAAUUAGCUUGACUGUGGUAAUAAUUUCACAAUGUGUAUGUAUAUGAAAACAUCAUGUUGUACAGUGUAAAUAAACACAAUUUGUAUUUGUCAAUUCAACCUCAAUAAAACUGGAGAAAAAUAUUUUUAAAAAAAUCAACAGCACAGUCAGAAAUGUAUCAGAGAAACUAGAAGAGAGUUGUAUCCCAGAGCACAGAAGUUCAAAUAGUUUUCAAAAUAAAGUGAUCAAUUGUAUUGAAUAUAGAAGAAGUGCCACUAUAAAUAGCUUUUGUAAAGAUAUUCAUUAAAUUUGGCAAUGAAGAGGACAAAGGUAACUUUAGUGAAGUGAUUUCACUGUAGUGCUUGUCUUUAGUUGCAGUGAGGUGGAUUGAUGAGUAUGUGAGUGAAGAAGUUGAGACUGCUUUUCCAGACUGUUCUUUGAAAGUAUGGAUGAAAUUGGAAGGAGAAAGGCAAGAAAACAUUUAGGAGCAGAGUCAUGGGAGAUUCUUGAUCUUGUCUGUUUGAUUUGGGAUGAGAUGCUUAGUAUAUUUGUAGGCUACAGGGAAGGAUGCACCCUAGAAAGCUGGUGUCGACAAGAGAGGGCAUUAUGAGGCAGAGUCCUGGAGGAAGAAGGGGAGGCCCAGGCCAGUGUCAUAGGCACACAGAAUGGGGGCUGGCAUUCAACAGUCACAGAAUGAUAGGAAUAUUUCUUUUUCAGACCCAGAAAGGAAGGAAGCAAGCCAUCAUAAAUGAAUAUGUAGACAAGUUUGUGAGAAUGUGUGUAUGUCUCUCAGAGAGAGUCGUGGGACAGAAGGGAGUUGAAAGAGAUCAUACUUGACUGUUAUUUAUUUACUUAUUCAUUUUUUUUCCUAGGAAGAGGUAAGGUAAUCUGCUGAGAAUAAGGUUAGGUGGAGUUCUAGGAGAGCAGUGAGUAUUUGGAUGAAGACUGAGGAGAGUAGGCAAAGGAAUUACUGAGGAAAAAAAAUAAGAAGAUUAAACUAAGCAGGAGGGUUCUUUUGGCAUUUUGUUUUUUGUUUUGAGAUGGGGUGUGAUUUUGUUACCCAGGCUGGAGUGCAGUGGCACAAGAAUGGCUCACUACAGCUUGGACCUCCCAGGCUCAAGGGAUACUACAACCUCGGCUUCCCUAGUAGCUGGGACCACAGGCACAAGCCACCAUGCCCAGCUAAUUUAAUUUUCUCUGUGUGUGUGUGUGUGUGUGUGUGUGUGUAAAGACGGGGUCUCCUUCUAUUGCCCAGGCUGGUCUCAAACUCCUAGGUUCAAGCUGUCCUCCCAGCUUGGCAUCCCAAAGUGCUGGGAUUACAGGCAUGAGCCACCAUGCUGAGCCAAGAGUGGGAGAUUCUUAAUUGGGAUCAGCAACAAUCUAUAGUCUUGCAUAAUUUUUCAGUUGUACUCAACUACCACUAUUUAGUUAAAAGCAUUUAUUAAGUAUUCUUUACUAUGUACUUGGCAUUAUGCAUUGCAAACAUUACCACAAACCACAGUAGGUAGGUACAUUUAUUACCCCAAUUUACAGGUUAAGUAACUUCUCCAAGUUUGCACAGCUGGUAAAAAGGCAGAACAGAGGCCUGUCCGACUCCAAACCAUAUGUUAUUUUCCAUAUGUUAUACGUCCUCCCAAGGAGUUGGAGCUUUAAGAAUUGAUAAGACAUUUUGCUUAGCCUGAGGAAACUCCUAAUGCACAAGAGAAGAUAUGCCAAUAAAUAAUAACAAGCAAAUGUGAGGGAUUGAUAUGCUCAAAGAGCAGAGAACAGGAGCCCAUCAUUCUGAUGAAAGCUUCAGGGAAGCCUCAGCAGGCUGGCACCUGAGCACUGACUAGGUCUGAGUUUAUAUUCACCAGGUGGACAAGGAGUCUGGAGCAUCCCAGACUUGGGGACUGUAUGAGCAAGGACAAGGAGGUGUGAGAAGGCAUCCCAGUUUUGCUCAGUGCAUCUGGGACAUAGAGUGAAUGUUGAGUGAGGAGUGGAAGACUUGGGGGGAGAUAUGAGAUCAGAUAAUAAGGGGUAUUGUAUCUACUGAGAACUUUAUCUGGUAAUCAACUGGAUAACAUGUAAGGUUUUAAAUAAGAAUGAUACUAGAUUUGAGUUUCGCAAACAUGAUCAUUUUGGUAACAGGCAGGGUGGAAUAUAGAAUAGGGAGAUCAAUAAUUAUAAUAAUUAUAAGCUGUCACUUACUCUGGAUCAGGCACUAUGUAAGUGAUUUUCGUAGAUUCAGCAAUUUAAUCAUAGAAAAGAAAGAACUAGCCCCAGGUUUCUAGCUCUGAGGCCAGUGUUCUUUCCACUGUUUUCUUAUUUUUCAUAGUUUUCUGUUUAUAGCUGAACGUAAAUCUUCUGACACUAAUAAUCAUUCAAAUAGUGUCUCUACCUAAAUUCAUGUCUAUGCAGAAUCUCAGAAUGUGAUCUUAUUUGGAAACAGAGUCUUUGUGGAUGUAAUUAGUUGUAACGGGAGGUUGCUAUGAGAGUGGGCCCUAAAUCCCAUGACUGGUAUCCUUGUGAGAAGAGAGGACACACAGAAAGGAAUAUGAAGGCCCAGACAGAGAUUGGGAUGAUGCAGCCACAAGCCAGAGAAUGCCAAGGAUUGCCAGGACCCACCAGAAGCUAGGAAGGGGCAAGGAAGAAUUUGUCCCUGGAGUCUUCAGAGGGAGCAUGGCUUUGGUGACACCUUAAUUUGGGGCUUUUAGCCUCCAUAAUUGUGAAAGAAUAGAUUUGUUGUCUUAAGCCACCAACUUUGUGGUGGUUAUGGCAGCCCUAGGAAACUAAUACACCUUUCUUGUUAUAUUUCCAGCUAGGGACAUAUUCUUAUAUGUUUAUAACUGUGUGGAUUUUGAGGGAGAAAUCACUCACAGUUGAUGAUCUCAUGGGCCUGCUAUCUUUGUCUUUAUUGCAUUUCACUGUCAUUUGCCUGAUAGAUUAAUCUCAUUUGGAUUUCCUGGGGGCAAAUCUUGUUUUAUCUUCAUGUUGAUAUUGCUGCCCAUACUCUUAAGUAUUUUGGGUUACAAAAGCAGAAUUGUCUUUUAACACUAGCCUGUCAGUAACAUGAAGACCUACUUUAUAACCAAAACAAUUUCUGUGCUUGAAAAAAAGUAUUAUAUAAAAGUGCUCAAGCCUGCUUUCAGCUUGACUUUUGCACUGACCUAGGGGUUGACAGAGUCUACUUUCAUUCAAGACUGGAAAUAUCAGGAGCUGUUUGCAAAGUACAUGAUAAGCCAGUUAAGCAGUUGAACACAAAGGGAGUCUUUUUAUAUCUUAUUUGAAACCUGAGUUUUGACAACAUAGAACUGUAAAAUUUUAGAGCUAGCCAAAUAGAAUUGACAUGCAAUGAAUAGGAGUUAAAAUCAUUUUUUUUAAAUUUUGACCAAAACAAUAGUAUUGACUUUAACCCUACAUCAUUUGUCACUUUUGCUGCCAACCAUUUUCUUGUUGACAUGUCACUUACAUUUGUUACCUACUUCACAAAUACUCCUGGGAUUGGUUCUCCUUACAAUUCAUUUUUCAUAGAGGAAAGCUGGACAUAAAUGCAUUUGAGGUUUUCUAGGGUUACCUAUUCAGACUCUUCAGUCACAGAGACAAUCUUAUGCACCCUCUCUCUCUCUCUCUCUCUCUCUCCCACAAGAGCUUUCAGGUACAUCUUGAUGAUAAAGAGAGAGACAUGAUGACUUGAGCAGUUCUAUGCAGAGCAUCUUCUCCACACCCUAUACCAUGGUCCCACACAGUGCAGUUCAUUUCAUGCUUCCCCAUGAAUGAGAGUAUUGUAAGUUGUAUGUGCAUGAAGAAAUAAAUGAUUAUCCCAUUCUCUAGAAACACAAAUGCAGUAUCACAAAGCAUGCACCAUUUUCCUCUUAAAAUUCCUUCCUGAAAAGUGUUUAUGGUUGUUGUUUUGAUGAAUUAAUCAUAUUAGGACACAACGCAGAUCAUAAGGUCAGUGAUGAAGAAACUCGUAACAUUCAAGUUUCAAUGGAAAUGUUUCCUGCUCAGAAAGUCCCCUUGUCCCUCUGUGUCUCCUAACCCCCAUUUUAUUUGAUCAUAACACCAGGUUUUAACAUAAUACCUGGUUUUCUUAUUUAUUAAUGUAUUCAUUGGCCUCUUGUCUGUCGAGACUCGUAGGCUCUUAUGUGCCUCAUCACUGCGUUAUCUACAGAGCCUAGAAUGGUUCCUGUUGCUAAUCAAAUGUUUUUCAAUGAAUGAAUCAAUGACUACGGCUAGAUAUCCCAGGAAUUAUAAGGAGUAAGAAUUCAGAGAAAGAAGGAGUAGUGGAAGCUGUAGGUAACUGAAGACAGGUUUUUUAGAAGAGUAGUAGAAGCAGGGACUCUGGUAGAGGACCUAGAGCGAAAAUCUUUGGUAAUGUUGGGAAGGAGUUAGCUUCAUCUUCAGAGACAAAGGAAAGAGGCAUUCAGAGGAUGGGCACAAAACAGUUAUGGGAGAGGAUGAAAGGGCAUUUCCUAGAGUUGUGUCCUUCAGGCAGCUGUAGAGAGAGAUGGUGGAGGGGGUUAUGUAAGCUGAACACUCUCAAAGCUGACCUAUAAAAUAUACAAAGUAAAUUGGACUCUCAGUAAAGGAAAUUGCCCAAUUCCUAAGCACCAUUUUCAGAGGCUUCACAAUAAGAGUAUUCAUUCUGAAAUCCUACAUUUGCAUGUAUAUACAUACUCCAUGGAAAAUGGCCUUAUAAUAUAGUAAUGAUGUGCAAUGCAGUAACAUGCUGGAAAAAAAAUAGUGUAGACUUUGAAAUGAAGUAACUAAAUCACAAUAUGCAAGACAUAUUCAAGCAAAUAUUCAAAUAAAGUUACCUGUCAGUGGGAUGUGUCUUUGCCUGUUCUCUCUACCUGUGAUUCCACAUGGCUUUAUAUAGGAAACAAGAGAGGCUUAUUUCACCCAAAAUAUCCUAGGUAUUUUUUAUCCUCGAUAUUUACAGAUAAAGAAAUUAUAGAAAGAAGGCAGAGCAUAUCAUUGUGUUGAAAGAAAAGUAAGGAACUCUAGUUAUAUCAACAUUACCCAAUGUCACCUGGUUACAUUAAAAAGUUCUGAAUAAACAGCUCGAGGGGAAAAAGACAUUUUCCUUUUCUGAGUUAAUAUGUCUCUGUGCUGUAGUCUGGGCAUCUUUUCAACUUUCCUUUGUUGACUUGGCUGUUUUUGGAUUGGAGGCUUCUUUUUCUUAUCUGUGUGGAGGAAUGCUUUUCUAACUAGAGCCUGAUGAUUUUGCUGAGAUGACAAGGCUUGUGUGGGUUUACCACAGAACACAAAAGGCCGUGUAGCCCAAAAAGAACUGAAAUAUGUUCUCUAAUACCCAAGGGCUUACCAAAUGUGGAGGUAACAUUCACAUUCCAACAUGAGGAGCUGCCUCACCACCUCUCCUGGCUCUAUACCUCUGGUGGCAAUCUCACCCUUCCUCGAAUCCUCAACCCUUCUGGCCAAGGGUCUGGGCACACAUUCAGCCAAGUGCUGUGAUGGACAGUCUUUCCUUUGGAGAGAGCACGAUCAAGAUGUGAAGGAGCUGCAUGUGUUACUGACUGUGCUUCCAAACCACCACUGCUGUUAAGGGCAUUGCAUUUCUCCUAUAUAUAAAACCUUCCCUAGAUUCCAAACUUGAUGAGUCAAGACCUGAUAGAGAGAAGAGAAGAGAGAGAGCAGAGAGAACAAGAUAAGUGGAUGAAAGAUGUAAGAGAAGCACAGUCAUUGGGAGAUUUCUGCUGUGGAGGGGAGAAGACUUUUAUUAUAAUAAUAUUAUAAACAAUAGUUACUCUAUGAGGUAAUGUUGUAUUCACUGCAAGUAAUAGAAAAUUGGACUGACAGUAGCUUAAUGAGGUCAGGAUUUAUUUUCCCCACACAAUAUAAAAUCUGAAGGAAGUCAGGCCUCCACAGUGUCAUGCAGGACUGGGGUUCUGUCUGGCCUACUUUCCUCAAUGUGUCAUCCUCACGUUCGUCCUCUCAUGGUCACAAGAUGGUUGCUGCACCUCCAACCUGCAUUCCAGUCAAGUGGCAAAGUGACCAAGAGGCUACUAGCAAGGCUUUUCCUUUUUAUGGGAAAAGAUCUUCGAGGAAUUCCUACCCAUGUCCCUUUGGCCGGAACUGAGUCAUGUGGUAACCCUUAUGUGCAGGAGAGUCUCAGAGCUUGGGAAUUCACUAUUGUAGCCUCCGUGGUAGAGAUUACCCCAGAAGAGAGAAAGUGAUGGUAAUGGAUUCUGGAUUAACCAUUAUGAGUCAAGCCCAAAUUAUCACAUAAUCAAAGGAAAAUAAUACAUCUAAGCACCAAACUACAAAAAGCUAAACAGCAGUUAAAAAAUGAUCAAAGAUUAUGCAGCCAGAGGCAACAACAUCAGCCAAUAAAGAUAACACCAACCAAAAGCAAUCGACCAACACUAAAGUGCUUUAGACUUGCUUGGCUUUCACUUAGCAUCUCAUGAAGUAUUUCUUCUCUUAUAUCAUUGAAGACAAAUAGAAAAAGAAUAUUUUAGAAUUAACACAGAGCAUUUUUUCUCCUGGGAUGUUAGAGGAACACAUGCCCGCCUGAGUCUCCCUGGCACUGUGACUAUGCUCCUUUUGGUCUGGGGCAAAGCUUCUAGUAGCAAAGGUUGGAGACACCAUGGAGCUGGGAUUGUAACUGGAAAACAUGACAAGGAUAGGAAGUUAGUCAAGAACAGGAGCAGGGGUCAGGCACAGUGGCUCACACCUGUAAUCCCAGCACUUUGGGAGGUCAAGGCGGGUGGAUCGCCUGAGGUCAGGAGUUCGAGACCAGCCUGGCCAACAUAGUGAUACCCCGUCUCUACUAAAAAUACAAAAAAUUAGCUUGGCCUGGUGGUGGGCGCCUGUAAUCCCAGAUACUCGGGAGGCUGACUCAGGAGAAUCGCUUGAACCUGGGAGGUGGAGGUUGCAGUGAGCCAAGAUCGCACCAUUGCACUCCAGCCUGGGCAACAAGAGUGAAACUCCGUCUCAAAAAAAAAACAAAAACAAACAAACACAAAACAAAACAAAAAAAGAACAGUAGCAGGAAAGAAUUUGUGUAUUUUUCUCAUUUGUCCUUCCUCUCUGGCACCUGAUUAACAUUUAGCCUUCAAGUUGAAGCUAAAUCAUCACCACCUGCUUGGAGUCUGUUGUACCUCCUGGGUGCACACAUCACAGAGUUACAUCCAUUCCUGCAGUAAACAAUUACUUAGAAGCCACCAUGUUCCAAAUUCUGCCAUAAACCCUGGGUUUAGGACAGUUCAACCUCUGCUGUCUAGAGUAGCACUACCCAAGAGACAUAUAAUAGGAGCCCCAUAGGUAAUUUAAAGUUUUCUGUUAUUUACAUUUAAAAAGGAACAGGUAAAAUUAAUUUUAAUAAUAGAUUUGAUUUAAACCAGUAUAUGCAAAAUAUUACUAUUUUGACACAAUUGUUAUGACAUAUAAAAAUUAUUAGUGAGAUAUGUUAUACUCUUUUUUUCAUACUGCCUCCAAAAUCCAGUGUGUAUUUUAACACAGCACACCUCAAUUUGAACCAACCACAUUUCAAGUGGUCAGUAGCCACAUGGGUGAGUGGCUGCUAUGUUAGACGACCUUGCUGUAGAGCUUCCAGACUAUAAAUAAUGAUUUAUUAUAAAACGUGCUUAAAUUCUUUGUAGAUUCUGGAUAUUAGCCCUUCGUCAGAAGGAUAGAUUGCAAAAAUUUGUAACAAAACUGCAUGUUCUACACAUGUACCCCAGAACUUAAAGUAAAAUAAAUAAAUAAAUAAAUAAACAUGCUAACUAUGCCUAAUAAAUGUCUAAUUUAUACUGCUCAUAUCAUGUGGUAAUGGGGAAGCAGUCUCCUGAGGAAAGGCAGUGGCUUCUCUAGUCAACUCUCCAAAUGAAGUAAUUUGUCUCAGUGAUUUCUCCAUUACCCAGAGUCUAGAUCUCAGCCACAUGGGUUUAGAAAAACUUGAUUUAUUCAAAGUCCUAAAGUUUAUUUACUUCCCGAUGCUGGCUUCUCACAACAGAAUUCUGAGAGACCGGUGUAUUAGAAAUGAGAAUUCUGGUUCAUUUGUGAUGAAACAUGUCUGUGCAUUUGUAUUAUCUCCACAGACCAGGGUUUGGCUACCCUGACCUGUGAGACAAAUGCAGCCCCCCACAUGUUUUUGUACAGCCACAAACUCACAGUGGUUUUUGCAUUUUUACAUUUAAAAUGAAAGAAGUCAAAAGAAGAAUAAAAUUUUUUGAUAGGUGAAAAUUGUGCAAAAUUCAAAUGUUAUUGUCUAUAAAUAAAGUUUUACUGGAACACAGCCAUACUCAUUCAUUGAAGUAUUAUCUAUAACUGCUUUUGUGCUACGAUAGCAAAGUUGAAUAGUUACAACAGAGACCAUAUGGCCCACAAAGCCUAAGAUAUUUACUAUCUUGCCCAUUGCAGAAAAUGUUUGCCAAACCCAUGUUAUGUAUGUGAAUCACUUGAGGAGCUUUAGAGAUGUACAAAUAUUCAGCACUACCCUCAAGUAAUUCAGAUUUAAUUAGUCUCUGGUGAGGCCUAAGUAUCAGUAUUAAAAAAAAAAAAAAAUCGAAUGCUGUAGCCAAUCUAUGUAGGAAGCCAAAGUAACCAGAAGGUUGUGUGGAAAUCAUGGAUGCAGAACAAAGAAAAUCAAGAAAGUAACUUGAGUACCCAUCCUCCCAGUCCAUGCCUGUCAGCAUACAGGCCACUUGAGUCAGCAUACCAAGGCACAUUCUUCUGAGUCAGCGCUCAUCCCUGUUCCUAUUCACCUCUGUGACCUUGAUGUUCCUAUGUUUCCAAACUUAACCAGCUCCUCUGUUGAUUGGCACAUUCUUCCUGUGCAUUCACCAGUUAAUCCUGCCUUAUCAGCCUGAGGGCCAAUCUGUCUCUCUAACAUGAUUUUGUUUAUGUCUGUUCUGAGUCACUAUGCGCUGCUUUAAUAGGUUUCUUAAGACCAAUCUGAUUUUCAUGUUUUGUUGUUUUCCAAAAUGUUUCCUGGUUGCCUCAGUGCCCGUGCCUUAGACAACUUACAUUCCAAUUGCUGCUUUUCUUGGGUAUCUUUGCAUCUCCAGCCUGACAUCAACCAGUCACUGAAGUGUUUGGUGGAUGGGCUCAUUGGUAGCUGAAUAAGUGAAUGGAUGACUGGGUGGGGAAGAAAAGUUGGAAAAAAAUACAGGAGGAAUUUUGUAGACUAUAUAUUGUGAAUAUAGUGAAUUUUAAUGCUAUAGAGCUUACAGACUAUAAAUAAUGAUUUAUUAUAAAAUGUGCUAACAAACCAGAAUAUCCAGAUUCAAAUCCUGACUCUGCUACUUUCCCUGGAAAGCCCUAUGGGAAGAUCCCUUUGCCUUUAUUAAUAAGACUUUGGAUAUCUGUAAGAUGGGAAGAGUAACACAUACUUCACAGAAUAGUAUGGGGAUGACAUCAAAUACAGUAGCACCUACUGUAAUGCCUGACUUAUAAUAGCUUCUAAAUAAAAAGUUUCCUUCUUCUCCCUUCUGUUUAGCUAAGGCUUCCUUUCACACUUAAAAGGCCUGAAUUGUUUAUAGUUAAAAAUAGUUUGCUGUCUUAUUUAUUAUACUAUACAGCGGAUAGCAAUAUUAUUAAAAAGAACUUGGUAAAAAUAUUUUAUUGUUUGAACAAAUAAUUUAUAACAAAUUUUCAAAUAAUUCUAGAUUCUAUAAUUCUAUAUUAACCUUAUAGUUUGAUGCCAUGGUUCUAAUAAUGGAAUUUUUACAGUAACAAUAUCAUAUACCUAUUCAUUUGUAGUCCAUGUCUUUUUUUGUAUAAGGCAAAAUUUUAUUUUUUCUUCAAAGGCUUUUUAAGUUUUAAGGUAGGAUAUUACUUCAUUUGAACCCAUGUCUUAUAUUUUAUAUCCUUAGGAAAAACAUGAGCCAUCCUAAAAAACUUGUCCUUUCUUAUUUGUUGGUUUCUGAAUAGCUGUAGAUAUUGAAGGAUUAAAAGUUUUCGACCCUAGCUUCACAUUAGAAAUCCCAGAGGAGAUACUUUUAACCUUUAAAUACCAAUGCCAAGCCCCAGGCCAAACCAUACUUUCUGAUGGUGGAGCCAAAGGCAUUAUCUGUUUUCAGUCUUCCAGAUGAUACCAAUGUGUAGCCAAAGUUGGGAGCUACUAAUCUAAACCCACCCUCUAUGGUUUUUGUUCGUGUGUGUGUGUGUGUUGAGACACAGUCUUGCUCUGUCACCUAGGAUGGAGUGCAGUGGCACAAUCUUGGCUCACUGCAACCUCUGCCUCUAGGUUCAAGGGAUUCUUGUGCCUCAGCCUCCUGAGUAGCUGAGAUCGCAGGCGCCUGCCACCACACCUGGCUAAUCCACCCUCUAUGUUUAACAUAUGAGACGAAAUGAAGUACAGAGGUGAAACGAUUGGCCCAAAGCCCUUCAGCUUAACUGAAACUGAAACUCAGGUGUUCUACCUCAGACCAGUGUUUCAGGCUAAUCCUAAACGAAGAAUUUUAGGACAUACAGUUUUCUUGAUGCAUACAAAAACUUCACUGUAAGGAAUAUUUUUUAAGUUAAUUUAAAUAUAACUUAUAUAGAGAAAGGAAAUAUAACUUGUUAUAGAAAGUAUCAGUGAUAGAAGAAUUAAAGUGUAUGCUAAAUUCAUUUUUAAGUUCAAUUAAGUAUACUUCAUGUAUUAGAUGUGGUGACUUAUUCAUCGUUAGGUCUGUUUUGUGAGGUAGACAUUAUCAUUUAUAAACUUCAUAUAUUUUAAAUGAGGAAACUGAUACACAAAGAGAUCAAUAGACUUGCAUUAGGUCACACAGCUGAUGAGUGGCAAAGUCAGGAAAGGAACUCAAAACAUAGGACACUUAGUCCCACCUUUCUUUUCCCUUCCUAAAAAUAGAACCCUAUAUUUGUACAAUAUAAUUUUUGUUUUGUUUUCCUUUUGGAGGCCGAGUGGAAAGGACCUCUUGGAUAGGAGUGCUGAACAAAAUGCACUUACGUUUCACAAAGGACCAUUUUAUAAUUAACUUGGAUGGGGCCCAGUGCGAGAGAACAGAAGAAUAGUGUUGAGAUGAGGGGAUCCUGCAGCGUCCAAAUAGAAUUAGAACUAGACGCCACUUGUCAAGAUAAAUGUUUGACAAAACGGGCAUGUCUCUCCAGAAUUCAUUAAAAUGUUGUUUUAAAUAUUAACAAUUUCUUAAAGCAAUGCUAUUGAUGCUUAAGAAGUUAUACUAACAAGUUUUUCUUUAUUCUUCCUUGGUCUAGUUCUUUUGUGCUCUAUAGAAUGACUGUAAUCAAAAAUAAGCUCCCAAAGUAGUGAAAGUUUCUCAAUAUAAAUGAUAAGGUCAGUAAGGCCCAGAGAAGCCACAUCCAACAUCACUUGAGCUAGAAUGCAAUGAAGAUUAAUUUAGUAGCUAAUUCAAUUUGACAUCAAGUUGAGCUACAGAUUAAAUAUAGAAAAAUAGCCAGGCACAGAAAGACAAACUUCACAUGUUCUCACUUAUUUGUAGGGACUAAAAAUUAAAACAAUUGUACUCAUGGAGAUAGAGAAUGAAAGGAUAGUUACCAGAGGCUGGAAAGGGUAAUGAUGGGUGCUGUUUUUCCCAGAGAAGUGGGGAUGGUUAAUGGGUACAAAAAAUCAUUAGAAAUAAUGAAUAAGACCUAGUGUUUGUUAGUACAACAGGGUGACUAUAGCAAAAAAAAUUUAAUGGUACAUUUAAAAAUAACUAAAAUAACAUGAUCAGAUAGUUUGUAACACAAAGAAUAAAUGCUUAAGGGGAUGGAUAUCCCCUAAAUAAAUAGAUAUAGAAAAAACUUGGAUAAAUGUUUCUAUUAGGGAAAAAUAAAGUUUUUUUUAAUUCUUUUAAGGACAUUAAAAGAAUAAAGUACACAGUAUUAAACUUGAAGAUAAAAAACAGAGUUUUUAGGUCCAAAGAAUUAUAUUCAGUGUUUGUUUAUUCAACAAAGGGUUUUUGUUUGUUUGUUUUUUGUUUUGUUUUGUUUGUUUUUAGUAUGUGCCAGAAAUUGUCCUGGGUCUGGAGGUAACAAUGGCACACAUGGGGGGAAAUCAUCAAUAAACAGUCAAUAAGUCAAUAAACAAGAUCAUUGCAUCUUUGUAAGUGCUCUGAAGAAAAUAAACAGGAUGUGGUCUUGAAAAGUGGAUGAGAAUGGCUUCUUCCAUAGAGAAGCUGCGAGGGCCUCUCAGGAGAAGCAGCAUUUGAGGUGAGAUCUGAAGGCUGAGAAAGAGCCAGCCACAGGAUGAGCUAAAUGCCUGAGACAGCAGCUGUGCAUAUGAGAGCAAUAGAAAAGAGGCCGAAGUGUGCUGUAAUGUAUGUCCAUGUACUCACACAUGCAUAUCCACUCAUGUGUGUGCAUAUGUGCACUGAAUGAUGACAAAAUGUGAACAUCAGCUAGACUAGUAUCCAGAAAUCGGGAUAGGUAAAUCCCUUGACAUCAUAUUUUGAAGUGUUCUAACUCCCUUUUCUCCUACCCAAUGCCCUCCCCUUCACCCCAAGCACACACAUGGAACUUGGAAAAACAUUAAAAAUAUUGACUUCCAGAAAGGUACAUUACAUCUUUAUCUCUAGUUUAGGAUGUCAUAUCAAAUGACUCCUGCCUAUGCUUGGUUGGUGGAUGACUUUUGUAAAUUCAACUAUUUGGAAACCACUAGUUUUCAAAGGACUAAUGUGCAGCAGAAGAAAAUGUCUAAGCCUGUUUUGUGCUGCCGUCACAGAAUACUUGAGACUGGGUGACGUAUAAAGAACAGAAAUUUAUUGUUUCACAGUUGUGAAAGCUGUGGAGCCCAAGAUUGAAGGACCAUGUCUAGUGAGGGCUUUCUUUCUCUGUCAUAAUAUGUUGGAAGGCGUCACGUACCAAGAGAGCCCACAGGAGAGAUGGAAGGGGCUGAACUCAUCCUUCAUAAGGAUGCCACUUCUCUGAUAAUAGCAUUAAUCCAUGUGAGGGCAGAGCCCCUAUGACCUAAUCAACUCCUAAGGUGCUGCUGUCAACACUAUUGCGUUGGAGAUUAAGUUUUCAACACAUGAACUUUGAGGGACACAAUCAAGCCAUAGCAGCCGGCCACUAUAUUUUCAUGGAAAGAAAACAUAUUGAGACUCCCACAAAGUAAACUUCUUUGGCUGCCAUGAGUGUAAAAUCUUGAUUUGAGCUUCAUUUCAUAGCCAUGGUGGCAAAUCAAAUUGUUAAAUAUAUUUGUGAGUCUGUAAUUAUGGAGAAAGUCAUUGUCUCAUAAUAUAUUUCAAAAAUGUUUAAGUAUUUGUUUGUUUUCUUCUUUAUUCAGUGUCUCAUAGUCUUUCUCUUUUACCAUGCCCAUUUAUUUCUUGACAUCACCAUUAAUGAACCUUCCCAACAUGGUUUUAAAUUCAAGCUUCUUGUUUUUUCUGCUUUAGUAGGAUCUUGCCAUACCAUUCUCUUGCCCUUCGAAGCACAAUAAAGCCAAUAGUAGAGACAUGCUCUUGUGUCAGCAUUUUGGAAUCAAUAUUUUCAUAGCUGUUUUACAGGUAAAUCAGCUCUUGGAUAAAGUGGAGCUUUAAGAAAGUCUGGCCUUUAAAAUGACUAUAUUCCGGUAAUCACAAAGUCAUAAAACAGAGCAUUUCAGUGAUGAUGGGUCAUGUUUUUUCAGUCUUAAUUUAGAAUUUUUUUCAACUGACUUUGAGUUGCUGUUACAAUUCAACCUGCCUCUGGUGUUUUAUAUGCCUUAAAACUUGUUGCUACUGUGUAAUAACCAGGAGAGCGUAGCUACAGGGUUCCAAUUACUUUGGCAAAGGAGCUUUAUUACAUUGUCUCCAACUAAGCAUGUAAUUAAUGUCUCUAUUUCAAGGCUAUUUCAACGAAUUCAAAACCCAGAAUCUAUCCAUACAUAUUUAGGGAUGCAUGGGAACACUUGUGAUGUCUUCAUUGCAGCAGACAGUAAUACCAGAGGAAUUUUUGGAAGAAUAUGGAAUACUUUGUCAUGGGUUGCAAAUAUUUUAAAGAUGUGGUUUGAAAUUAAACAUGUUGUUCUAAAAAGUCUCCAUGGAAAUAGAAUAUAAUAGAAUUACCCACCUCCUGGGAGAGUUUUUUUAUGGGUGAGACGUUUUCAGUUUGUUACAACGUCUGAACAGGCAUUAUAUGGCAAGAGAGCACAUAGGAGAUAAAUAUCUGUCUACAGUGCGUAGGGCAUUUGCACCUUGAGUAUCCUGCUGGACAGUUAUGUAGGUAAAAAGUCUGUUUAUAAUCAUCUGAACUUAAGCUUAUCUCCAUUUUGCAAAUAAACACAAAGUAUUUUUGCACAAUCUUAAUGCUCAUUGAAUUUUGCACGAAUGCAGCUACCAUAUACAUGAAGAGAAUAUUGUGGUUAGUUUUGUUCGGAACUUUACCAAGAAUUGGUCACCAUUUCAAAAAAAAAUCACGCCAUUGAUGGCAGCACAGCUUGUGGCAUUUGAGUUGCCAAUAAAGCAUGCCCAUAUUAUUAUACAUUUGCAGCGGUUGCAGUUGCGAGGAUUCUGCAUUUAGGUGCCACCAUCCAACAAUUUAAUUAUAUUUUGUAAUCAAGCAGAUCAUGCCCAAACAUUUACCUAUAGAAAUAUAUUUUUGUCAUGAAUUCCUCUUCUUAUGUUUCCCCUUAUAUUAUGGGGGAGUUGGCAUUUUGUGUUUAGGCAAAUUAUUUUAUUAAUUUCUUUUCAGAAUAUUAGAAGGACAUUUAAUUAUAUUAUCAAAGGAGAGUUAGGUGAGAUAAGAUCAAGAGCAAUUCUGAAAUACAUCACUCCUCCAAGAAAAAGGGGGAAGUGGUGCAUGUGCACACAUGUGCCCUUCAAUGCAAAGAAAGAAGCAGGAAACGGAGAUGGGAGAAUUGGCCUUGAUUGCAGCUCUUAUUGAGUGUCAGGCCCUGUGCCCAGCAUUUCAAAUGCAUGAUCUCAUUUUUUGUGCACAGUGCUGAGAAAUGCCAUGUGUGCUUUGAAUCCUGUAGCCCCAGUGCCACAUUGGGAGCUGACUGCUUGACAUUUGGAGAUCAGAGAACGAGAGGAAAUGAGUAUAUGAAUAUUCUUGACAUUGCUGGAGUGUUAGAAUUAUUUAAAAGUUCUAUUAAGUAAGUGACAGUCUCAGAGCCUGAUUUAUGGUAGUUAAUGAAAUUUUCACAAAGAAGUAUUAUCAUAAAAUUCAAAAAAAAUCAUAGUAGCUGCGCACACAAAUUCACAUGCAUAUGAAUGUCAGUGCACGUUGGUGCAUUCAUGCUUCCUAUUUAUAGUUUUCGGGACACAUCCGAAAGUGAUAAAUGAACAUUGAAAUGCUACACAUAUGUUUAUAUCCACUUUUAGCUAUGGGGUUGUCUCAAAAUGUGGUAUCUCCACUGAGCCAAAUCCCAGGCAUUUAGAAAGUACGAAAAAUUUAAAACUUUAAAGUGAACCAAAGAGUAGAGAGGAAAAAAAAAAAAAAAAAAAACCCUAAAACUGAGAGAUAUGGUAAUCAUAAACCUGGCACCAAAUUACUUUUUAAAGUACAGUAUGAAAAAUGAAAUGUGUCAGAAUUGGUUACUAAUACUUCUUUGUUGGCUAAUUGUCAUUUUUAAAGACUGAUAAAAGAGGACCUUUCUGAUACACAGACAGCGCCAUGGCAUUUUUAAGCCCUGAGGAUAAUUUUACUAUAUAUAACAUUUCAGGGGUGCAAAUGUAAACAUUGUAAUUUCAGAUAAGGGACAGAUUGCUUUCUUUUAAAAA